rnacentral:lncRNA from 1 species
GUUUUUUUUUUGUUCUUUAAGGUGAAUCGUCCUCAAGUGUAAUUUUAAACAGAUCUCUACAAGUGUAAUUUCGAAUGGUGGUUUAUCACUUAUUGCUCAACUUUACACCUCUCUGUCCUCCAAGGGUGAACCAUCCUUAAGUAUAAUUCUAAAUGGUUGCCACGAGUGCAACCUUGGACAAUUGACCAUUACUUAUUGCUCGACUUUAUGGCUCUUUGCCCUCCAAGGGUGAACCGUCCUCAAGCGUAAUCUUGAACAAUUGCCUACAAGUGUAAUUCCAGACGAUGGUUCAUUACUUAUUGCUGAACUUUGCGGCUUUUCACCCUCUAAGGGUGAACCGUCCUCAAGCAUUUUUCCGAACGAUUGCCCACAAGCAUAAUCUCAAACAACAACUCAUUAUUUGUUGCUCAAUUUUACAACUCUCACACCCCCUAAAGGAUUACUCCCCUACAACUCCUAAAAGAUACAACUCUCACACCAUCCUAAGGGUUUACUCUCCUAAAGGUACAACUCUUAGAGGUCCAGCUUUUACACCCUCUUAAGGAUUCACUCUCCUAGAAGUAUGACUCCUAAAGGUAUAACUCUCACACCCUCCUAAGGGAUCACUCUCAUAGGAUAUAGUACCAUAGUGUUCUUACCCACUAAGACUCUUUAAGGGCAUUAGUUCAAACCCCACUAGGGUCAAAAUGCUUAAACAUUUUCUUGGUGGACUAGGCACUCCUACUAAACUUUGUGAACCCGCCGAGGGCUCUCCGCGGAGUUGAAAGACAACCCCAAAGCUAAAAUUGAGUAUAAACAUCUUAAAAACAAUACUUUCUUUGACGGUCGGAGACCAAUCCAAAAAAGGACCUCCCCUCAAUAAAACUCAAAAUGAAAAAUUCUAUAAAUAGAGAUAAAUGUUAUUCUAUUUUUAAUGCUCGAAGUUGGCUAAUGAGUUAUGACCGAAGAAAAUGUUAUAUAGAUCCUGUUAAUACUAUAAUUUUUUUUUUGAAUUAUGACAAAUUUCAUCUAACUUUUUUUUGUGUGCAUGUUUACUUGGUUUAGAGCUUUGUUUAACGUACCAUGGUUACGAUGCAUCAAGUAGGACCAUAUAUUUAACAAGUGAAAAUGGUUUUUUAAGUGUGUUAUAUUUCAAGUUUUAAAAUUAUUUAAUACCAAGAUCAGAAGCGUAGUUAGGGGAUUGAUAAGGGCUUUAAAAUAGAAAUUUUUUCUUUUAGACCUUUUAAAAUUUUUAAAGAUUUAAAUUAGUAAAAAGUAAAUUUAUAUUUUUGCCCCCUUAAAAUAAUAAAAAUUUAAUUUACUUCUUUAAAAAUUAUAAAGAUAUAAACUAUUAAAAUAAUAAAAUCACAUUUUUAUUAUCGUAAAAAUUAUAAUUUAAUUUCGAGAUAUUUCAAGUGACUAAACUUCAUAUAAUAGUUAUAUACAAACAUCGAUGUUUACCAUAAGUUGUUGGUUUAAAAUUAAUUAUUCUCUCUUUGGCUCGUCAAUAGUUGGGUGGAAAAUGAAAACAAUCCGCACUCAAAGAGAAAAAAAACCAUUUAUUAUUCAUUACAUCAUUAUGCAGAGUAAGGAAGAAAUAGUAGCAUAUUCAGUUAGACCUGUCCAUGGGUCGGGCGGCCCGGCCCGACGGUCCGCCCGAAAUAUGGGAGAGUUUGGGUAAAAAUAUAGGCCCGAAAUAUGGGAUUGGGCAAAAUUUUAGGCCCGUUUUAAAAAUGGGCCGGGCCUCGUGCAAGAUUUUUUGGCCCGGGCCCGGCCCGGCCCGAAAAAUAUCAAAUAUAUAUUUUUUAUUUUUAAAAUGUAAUAGUUUUUUAUUUUAAGUUUAUUUACUUUCAUUUCCUUGACUAGUGUUACAAAAUAAUAAUAAUAAAACAUCAAGUUUGUUUUACUAAUCAAAUGUUAGAUUUUGUUACAACAAUUAAUACAAUUAAUACAAUUAAUAAUUUGAUAAAUUUACUAAUUAAAUGUUAGAUUUUAUUACAACAAUUAAUACAAUUAAUACAAUUAAUAAUUUGAUAAAUUUACUAAUCAAAUGUUAGAUUUUAUUACAACAAUUAAUACAAUUAACAAUUAAUAAUUUGAUAAUUUUACUAACAAUUAGUUUUAAUUUUAUUAAAAAAAUCAUUUUAAUUUUAAUUAAAAAUGGGCCGGGCCAAGCCGGGCUCGGGCCCCAUAUUUUUUCUUCGGGCCGGGCCUGGGCAAAAUCUCAUGCCCACAUUUCGGGCCGGGCUCGGGCCUAGCAAACGGGCUGAAAUUUUUUGUGAGCCCGGCCCGACCCAUGGACAGAUCUAUAUUCAGUACAUCAUUAUCCUAGAUUUACGUUUUUAGACUCUCCCUAAGCUUGAAAAUAUAUGUCUUAUAUUUUAUGAGAUUCAUUAAUAUUUUAUGAUUUCUUUUUAAAAUUUUACUAUCUCAAUUCAAAGAAGGUUUGUCAUAUCAAUUUUUCCGACAAAAUCUUUAAUUAUAAAAUACAUUAAAUUAAGUUUAUCUCGUUUGUCUUAUCAAUUUUUUUGAAAAUAAAAGCUCAAUGUACAAUUUGAAAUAAAAAAAAAUAUCUAAAAGAUCAUACAUCGUGUCACGUUAGGUAGUUCCAUCUUUAAUGACAAUUAACAAUUCGAUGAUUGGAAUAUAACAAAUUAAUAAUAAUAUUUUUUAUAUUAUAAUUUUCGUUAAUAUCAAAACAUAAUUUAAACAAUUCUCCAUUUAUUAUUGAGUCAAAUCAUGAUUUCAAAAUAAAACAAUCAGCAUCACAUAUUUUUCAAACCAAGUUUUAAGGUUGGAAUUUCAACCCGACAAAAUUUAUAACUUUUAUCUUUUACAAAGUAUUUUUGGCACGUCCACUUUGAUACCUGUAGUUUUUUGUUUUGUUCAUUUUGGCACUUUAACUUGACAAUUAGGGUUAUUUUGAUUCAUGAACUUAAAAAUUUUAAAAGUCUAAUAAUGUAACACUCUGAGAUUGUGCCACAUUAUCACUUGAAAAAAGAAGUUUAGAUGAUGAUGUGGUAUGAUCUCAGAGUGUCAUAUUUAAUGUUUUAAUAAUCGAAUCGAUCGUUGAACAAGUUAAAUCACCAAUUCUCGAUACCAAUUCAAUUGGUUCAACUGCUGGAUCAACAAUAAUUAAAAAUGAAUUAAAAUCUAAAAAAAAUAAAACUUUUUUUACUUGCCUUUUUAAAUUUUUAUGAAUUUUUAAUUAUUUAUUUAAUUAUUGUUGGUCCGAUAAUCAAAUUGGUUGAAUUGAGAAGAGAUGGUCUAACUUGUUCAACCAUAAGUUCGAUGAUUAAAACAUUGAAUAUGACACUGAAAUUGUUCCACAUCAUCAUCUAAAAUUUUUUUAAUUUUCAAACUCAAAAUGCUAUAUCAUCAAACUUUUAGAUUUUUUAAGCUUAAGAAUAAAAAUGGAUCUAAAGUGAACAAAAAAAAUACAAGUAGUAAAAUAAACUAGUUGUCAAAUUCAAAGAUCAAUAUGGAUAUACUUGUCAAGUUACAUUAUUAUUAUUAUUAUUUUUACUAUGGAUAAAUCAGAGACCAAAAGUUGUAUUAUCACAACUUUUCAAAAAGUAAUUUCGCCCUAAUUUUUAAAAACAUUUUUCAAUCUCAUGCUAAAUUAAUUUUAGUUUACCCUAAAAAAUAUUCAACAGAUUCGAAGGUCUUGGUUGCUUGAAAGACUCCUCAGAAAUGGCCACCAAGCUACCUCUGAUUGAAUCCCCCUUGCAUCCAAAAUCAACAGAGUAAGUAAAAGGAACACUGGGAUUAUUAAACCCAAUUAUUUGCCCCACCCAAAUUCUGGAUCUCCUGACCUUCCCUUGCUUCUCAGAACCAGGCUUCACUGCUCUGUCAUCUGCCACAACCUGCUGCUUAUCAAGACUUGAAGAGUCAUCAGACACUGCAGUGAGCAGGCUGUUGGCUAGUUGAAUCCCCUAACUCCAAUUAGCCUGAGCCGGUGCUUCACCACAGUGGUGGUUGCUGUCACCCUCUCCAAUCGGUCGAGACUGCCCCCAAGUUUUAAACACCAAUCCAACGACAAAACACCCCAAAUCUACAGAACCAAAAAUAAAAAUAAAAAUAAAAACCUCAUCGAUCAACACAAUUAGAACAACAACCAGCAAUGAACAUCAAAACCAAAUUAAAGAUACACAAUGAAACAAAGAGAAAUUCUCAGCAGCCUUACCUUCGUUCGUUCGAUUUCAGAUCUUCGUCGGUCUUUCUCUGUUCGUUUAAUCACUGGAUUUUGUUUUCGACCUCUAUGUUUAACGUACACGUGAACGGUGGAGAGUGGCCUCCGGUCAAACGAACGGAGAGAUGCGUGUGGGUGGGUGCAUCCAAAGAGCCGUAAUCAGGAAGUAAUUCAUAGUGGGGUAGGGGAGUAUUCCACUCACGAUCUACUCCUUCGCGUGUUUAGCACCAACCAGAUGGAGCUGAGGAGAGUGAAUUGGACGACAAGUUGCGUCAUAAAGUUAGAUUAUAUAUACCUGGAACUUUGUAACUUAUUUGAUAAAUGAAAAUUCACAUCCGCCAGUUUUAAUCCAAUUAAUAUGUAUUAUCAUCGAUAUAUAAAUUUAACCACACUGAAAUGUAUUAUUCAUUCAUUUAAAUAUAUUGAGAAUAAGUAUACUAUAAUUUAAUAAUUGAAUGUAAUAAAAGAGGCUAUUUGCAAAAUCACAAAGCAACUUACCAAGAACAUUAACCAUAAAUUUUACGGACUUCCUAUCUUGAUAUACAGUGAAUUUAAUUUUUUAAAUGGAUUAAUAUAUAUGUUAAAUCAUAAAAAUAAAAAAGUAAAAAAUCUCUCUUUGGUUCCCUUAAUUUUGAUAUUAAGUAAAUUGGUCUCUUUCAAAAAAAUUAAAGCAACUUGAUCCUUGUCAGUUUCAAAAGUAAGCAACCAAUGUCAAUUAAUUAUUGUUUAUGUUUUUUUUUUGUCAAUUGUACAUAUUUUUAUCGAUAUAAUAACAAAUUUAAUUUUCAAAGUCUAUACAUUUUGUCAAUUUGGCCUUGAUUUAAUAAACUUGACCUGCGUCAUUCACACAUUUGUCAACUUGGUCCUGAUUUAUCAAAUUUACACAUUCUGCCAAUAUUUACAUAAGAUAUGUAAAUAUCAAAGGUUAAAUUUAUUAUUAUACCAAUCAAAAUUAAGUACAAAUAACAAAAAAAAUAUUAAUGUCUUAAUUAAUUGUCUUUAUUUGUUCACUUUUGAAAUAGAUAGGGUUUAAAUUGCUCUAAAUUUUUUUGAAAGGAACUAAUUUUUUGAAUUUUAAAAAAAAGUUAUUUUUAGCAAAAAAAAAUAAUCGAGAUUUAAAAUUGAGUAGAAAAAUAAGCAUCACUAGAUGUAUAUAUAUUAAUUUAAUCUCUCCACAUAAAAUAAAAAACAAUUUAAUCCCUCACUUUAGGAAAAAAAGGUUCAAACCCUUAUAAUAAUAAAAAUCAUUAAUGAAAUUUUGACUUGAUCAGGACCAACUCGAAAGUUUUAAAUUCGACCUGAGCUGGAUUUAAUUCGAAAAAAUUACUAGGAGAGCUAAAUAAUUAUGUGUCCAUUUAUUUUUACAAUUUUUAAAUAAAAUUUAAACAACACUUAUUAUCAUUUAAUCUGAAUUUUUUCUUAUAAUAAUCACGAGAGAAAUGAAGUUAGAUGAGUUUCCAUUGUUAAUAAAUGAAGCAAAUCUGACGGAAGAGAAGAUAGUCAAGAUUGAGGCUGUUUAUCUUCAUCUCCUACCUUCCCCCACUUUCUUAUGAUGGAAUGCAUUAUGCAUAUGCCAUUCAACAUAUAGAUUGUGGACUACCAUAUAUUAGUUAUUUUUAAAAUGGGCUUUAAAAAUGGUAUCAACAAGACUCCUACCAAAAACACCAACUACUAAAAUAAAAACGGUUGGGUUCAUAUUGUGAGAAAAAUCACAAUGUUAAAAUAAAUUAAUAUUAAAAUAAGAGUUAUAUAAUAUUUAAAUAAUAACAACAAAAUAGUAGUAAUAUAAUAGCAAAAAGUAGCCGGGUUUUUUUUCAACUUCAGGCCGAGUUGCUGGGCCAAAAAAUAUUACUUGAGGCUUGACUUAUUUUGAAAAUGGGUCUCUUUUUUUGCCCAAACUCAUUUCUCGAGCCUAUAUUUUUGUCCAAAUCUAUCCACUUUUCGAACGGGCAACCAGGUCUAAGUGAAAUGGAGGUAGAGAUAUUGUUAAAUCCAUCACUGCUUCAUAAUUUCCAUGCUUUACUCUACCACUUACCUCGUUCCACUAUGAAUAUAUAAUUUUGAAAAUCAUUACUAUUUCCGUGGACAUUGGAUGCAUCCAUCUCCAUCUCCACCUCUCUCUGCUUUGCUUUGAUUUAAUUUUUGCUACUUGUCUUUAAUAUUUUUAAUCUUUUUAAAAUUAAGUAAAUGUUUAAACAUAAUUCUUCAUUUUUACCCUUUUAGUAGUUUAUCUAUACAAGAAUAAAAUGAUAAUUUCAUAUAAUAAAGCUGGGAGGGGUAAGCAAUUGCCAUAAUCAAUUCAUACCUAUUAUUUAAAGGAAAAAUUCAUCCCACAUUGCUUUCACUUUUCAAAAAAAAAAAUAUUUACUCUAUUCGAAAGAAUCGAUUUGAAAUCUAUCAAAUGGUUUGGGUUUUAUUUUUUGGGAUUUCUGAUUGCUCAUAUCAAUAAUGUUAUCUUUAAUAUUUUAACUUAAUUUCUCUCUAGACGUGUAAUAUAUUUUACCAUUAUAACUAAUAUUUAUGGGUAAAAUCUUGUAAUCUGUUUUAAGUGUUAGAUUGGCUUAGGCUUGAAUGGCGACUAAAUUCCCAAAAAUUCCUUCCUAGCUAUUUGUAUUUAUCGCAAUUAACGGUAAUAUAUUCAACAUCGGUUGUUGUUUAAAAAUAUAACGUGACAAAGACAAACCCGUAUAUGCAAUUACAAAUUGAAGCGUAUAUGUGGUAAUAUUUACGGAAGAACAAACGAACAAAAAGGAUACAGCCAUACAGGUCAUCGCCAUUUAUUUAUACCUACCAUUCUUGUGCGUCCUUGUUCUUAAAACUCGACCUACAACAAUCAGUCAUGGUGACUUGUGCUUUCACGUUCGAACACUAGGAACAUACACCAUCUUCCCUUCUUCAACUGCCUUUCAACUUGUAUUUAAUUAUUUCUUUCUCUUUCUAAUGUUCAGAUCUCUCUGUAUUCCUUAACGCUUAAGGUUCUUGUUUCAUUUUCAUUCACUAACGAACAUGAAGAGGACUUUCAUGCACGAAAACCCAAGGGACAUAUAGAAAGAAAGCGUUGGUGGUUGUUUAAUACGUUAUUGCCGAAACAAAAGCCUAGGGACAGAUUCUUCAACAAAUCAAUUACCAAAUGGAAGAAUAUUCAAAAGGAACCCUAGAGGUAGAGGACUCCCAGAAUGUACAAGUGUAUGAAGAAGAAAACAAGGAAGAAUUUGGUGUAGUUAAUGGUGGGGAAGAUGAUUCCAAUUCAAGUAGUAGCAGUUCGGACAAGGAGGAUAAUUCAGAGGAGAAACUGGUUUCUGAGUCAGUUGGGGUUUCUUUGACGGAAGAUACCGAGCCAUCAGUUGAGAAAUUGGGAGACUCUGAUGUUGCUGAAUUGGAUGAUAAAGAAACAGAAGAGAAUGUUUCACCAUCUUUAGAGUUAGACCACACUAAUGCUAAAGAAACAGAGGAGUUGUCUGCUGCUGAGACCACUGUAGUGUCCGAACUCUCAACAGAUGUGGAAUCAAAGGAAACGGGACAGGAUGAGACUAAUGACUCCAGGGUUGGUGGAGCUGUUGUUGCAGACCAAGGAAUCACGGACGAUAAGGGUGGGAAUCCAUCAGGUUCCCCUGAAUUGUCUUCUAACCAAAAUGCUGAAGAUUCAUUGGAAGCAGCAAAUGUUCCUCCCGAUGAGACCAGAGAUGCUGGUGAAGUUGAAGACAAGCCUGUCAUGCAUGAAAGCAUAGAAAAUCAGGUCAAUAGCUUAACUUUAGCUAGUAUUAGAAAGAAUUAUGUUUAUAUUUCCAGCCCUGAAUUUGCAUUAGCUGAAAGCUGCUUUCAUUUUGGACAGACUAUUCUAUCUGUGGGUAAUCGUUCGCUGCAGCCAACUUCUUGGAAGAGUUGCUGUGGACUUUUUGAAGUUCUAAGGCGCUCUGACAGAUAAAUUCAAGGUGAGGAAACCUGUCAUCGUAAACCUUAUUUUCUUACCAUCCAUGGAAAUUUGCUCAUCCUUCACUUGCCCUAUAGUUAGUCCUAGUUCUAAAACUAAACUAGUAUGCUACUAGACUCCUUGGCAUUCGACACAAUUGUAGCAAUCAAGGCUCCCUAUAGUGUCUAGAUUUGAUUGUAAGCUUCAAUGAUGAACCUUGUAUAUAUAUAUAUAUAUAUAGCAGUUCCAUAGAGAGAAUGUUAGGACAUUGGAUCACACUAGUGGUUCAUCAUACAAGUAGGAGAUUGGAUCUCUAUGUUCACUAUUAGAUUCGACUUAAAAACCCCAAAUUCUUCUUUGUAAUUGUUAAGUUAAGAGUUGGAACAGUUCUCAAAGCUAAUCAAGAUCCUUUAUUGUACCUUUAAUCUAUAAUUAAUACUGAUAAAUCUCAAUUCAAAAUUUUAACUCAAGAUCGAGCAUAAAUAGUUGAUCUUCUGCUGCUUCUUUUUUUAUUUGCAGUUUGGGGAAAAAAACUUAAGCAGAAUCUCAAGUUCUUGGUGGAGUUUAUAGGUUGUUAUGAUGUGGUUUAUUUUAAUUUUUUUUCCAGCAUUUUCUGCAAAAAUAAUGGGUGAGAAGAUAAGUGGAGUUGGUUGGGGAAUGAAAUUAGGGUUUUCUUCGUUGGGAUGUGCGAUUGCCAUACGUGGAGUGUUUGAAUUUGUAUACAGUAAUAUAUGUGAUGAUACUGUGAUUUCAAUUUCAUUUCUUGGGUUUUGCCUUUUAGAAUGGUUUAAGAUUAAAAACACACUUUGUAGUAACAGUUUCAAUUAUGACUUGAUGUUGUCUUAAAAUUUUGUUAUAAAUUGUUUACAAAGCUUGUCUGAAAACAGUAAAUACCAAGCACAUCUCUCAAUGCAGAGACACACACAUUUCCAAAAUGGAAUGAACUAAAAUAUCCCAACACUUUGAUUUAAACUCAACACGCAAACAGGUGUCCAUAAUCUCAUUUGAAAUCCAAUGUGUUAGCACAUCUCAAGUGUAAUUUAAAUUGGAAUUGUGUGGUAAUUCAUAAAAAAAAAUAAUUAUAAUCUCAUUUAGUUUAAUAUUAAAAAUUAUUGUUAAAAUUAUAAUAAUUAAAUGGACGUGAAUUAUCUAAAGGAUUUUGUUUAUAAAAAAUUUAAAAAAAUUAUAAAGCACCAAAGAUGAAGCACUUUCCCUCCCACGCAUGAUGAAAGCACAACUUACCAGUAAAAAAGAAAUAAUGAAUUACCGAAACUAGUCUUUAUCUCCAUUCUUCUUCAAUCAUCCAUUAACAUAUUUCUCUGCAUUUAGUAAUAAUUUCUAAUUCUGAUUUUUCUCCACAUUAUAUAUUGAACUAUUCAAAUAGUUAAAAAGGGUAGUAAACCAUAAUCAAGAAAAAACAAAACAAAAUGAAAAAUCAAAGUGGAUGGGAAAUGGGAAUAUAAUGUGGGAUGAUGCUCUCCUUCAUCAACUAGCUAGGCAAAAGAACCAAAAAAAAAAAAAAUUACAGUUGAGAGAAACAACCAGUGUGCUUGAAUUGAUCAACCUCCAAGCUUCCUUUUCUGUUUAUCCAUGCCUUCAAUAAAGCUUGCAAGAACUCUCAUGGCCCUAAUUUGACCCUGCAAAGCUAAUAUAUACCCAGCAGUUUCUUCAAACAGCUUAUCCACCCCUAAUGCCUCACCUCCUGGAACUAUCCUUUGCAAUGCCACAAUCUUUCUUUUUACUUCUAUCCUCUCAUCAUCAUCAUUGUAUUCUUCUUCUUCUUCUUCUUCUUCUUCUUCUUCUUCUUCUCUCAAAGAAUCCUUGUUUUGAGACUUCAAGUAGUCUGUCCUUUUCCUGGUGGUGCCCCGGGUUGUUUGGAAAGUGGGAAAAGCUUCAUGCAAUGCACUUCCCAUCAAAGGGUUUUGCUGGGUUUUGCUGUAAAAAGUGGGUGUAUUUGUCUGGUUUACCGCAUUGAUCUCCAUUAACAGAGGGGGCAAAGCAAAGCAAAAGGAAAGGAGCUGAGUUUUGGGUGUGCAUGAGAAGAGAGGGGGGGCGUUAUAUUCAGAGAUUUUGCCAAUGCCAGCCAAGGCAAUUGAGGCCCCACGGGGUUAUUGGGGUUCCCCAAGCGUACGGCGUUUUUCUUUUUCUUUUUCUUUUUCAUAUGAGCUGAGAGGUGAAAUUCACGCUCUGUACAAAAGCGCGUGAUUGGAUUUGUCGUGUAGUGCUUUGCAUGUGCCAUAGUGAAGGGGUUAAGAGCAGGCAAAAUGUACAACAGGGCACAUGCAGCGAGUGGAAAGCUGUCUGGAAAUAUAAAAGAAAACAUUGACGGGAAUCCCCAAACGCAGUCGGAAGCGAGUGACGAUCAAACGGAUUGUCUGGGAUCACCUGCGGAUAGGUCCAUAGAAAAGGAAAAAAAAUGAAAAAAAGGGGACCCACGGAAAGCACAUGUGAUCACAUGGUUUUCUUGAACCAAACACCGCCCAUGUGCCUCCCCCAUCUUUCCUUACCUCUCCUCUCUCCUAUGAUCAAUAUCACUACCACUCGCAUGAAUGCCACGUGUCUCUUUCUUAGUUGGGACCCACCUCCUAUUCCCCUAAAAGAUCUACUCAAAAUCUACUCUCUUUUUUUUUUUUUAAUUUUGAUUUUCUGUUUGUUUUUUAGUAAUUCUUUUUGCGGAUUUUGGAAUUAUUUUUUUAUCAGAAUUAAACUAUUGGUCUUUUUAGGUGAGUUUGGAUAGGCGGUACGUUUACCUGCGGUUAAUGUGAAAAUAGCAGUGGCGGUGAGAUUAGAUACUGUAGCGAUACUAUAGUGUGAGACAAAAAGUAAACUAAACGUACCGCACCGCACCCAAUCGCUCAUCCAAACCCACCCUUUAUGUACAAACAUAUAGUGCGCCUAGAUUUCUUUUUUUUUUAAUGCUUUUUCGUACUAAAUUCUUUUAAGUUAAGAACAUAAAAAAGUAUGUUAAUUGCUAGGAAAAAAAUUUAAAAUAUUAUUUUAUGACAAAAUUCUAAUACAUUUCUAUAGAAAAUUUAAACUCAAAGGAUGGCACAAGUACCUUUUUGGGACUGAAUUAUGCAUAUACGCUGGAAAAAAAAUAUUCCGUAAAAUAGGUUUUCUUUUUUCAAAUUUAAGAAAGUAGGUCUUUUUUCUAUAGGUUUUUUUUCCUUCUAAUUGUGCACCGUUGAACGUAUUUUUCUUUCUCUCUUCUCAAUUAAAGAAGAGGAAAAUACGUUCAGUUGGUACACUUUCUUACCAACUGUACAAAAAACAUAUCCAACUCACCCUCUUUUCAAAAUUGAUAAAUUUUCCUAAAUCUAAAAAAAAAAAAGUUCAUUUAACCAAAUAUUUUUUUCCACUUAUAACCCUAAUUUAGCUCUUUUGGUGUAUCAAAAAUAUUUAAUUCAAGCAUGAUUAUAAUAGUAGAGUUUCAUAGCUUGCGAGUAAGGUUAAAUCUUUUAAUUAAAAAAUAAAUAUAAAAUAUGAUUUUUUUUUAAUUUUUGUUUGAGUUAAAAUAUAUGAUGAUAAUAUAAAUAAAUAAAAAACAUUUUUGAUAUAUGAUUAGUGAAAUCUUUUAUUUGUAAUUCACAUGCAUAUUAAGAAUUUGUAUGUUUCUCACGUUUAUUUUUAUUUUUUUUGUUUUUUUAAUUAUAUCCAGAUAAAUGUCCACUUGCUAAGAUUGUGAAAUUUAAGAAGUUGUUUUUAAAGGGUAAAAAGAAAAAGACAUUUGCAAUUCACUCAACUAUAGACAUUCAUGCAAAAUAACAUAUCCCAUUAAAACGUGGAACUCACUCGUAGUAAAUUUUGAAAAGAGGUAAAAUUAUUUUAUGGAUUUUUUUUCAUCGUAUUAUUUAUAGUUUUUUUUAAUUAUUUAGUGCUAUUUUAGUAAUUUUUUUAUGUCACUGACAUAUAAUUUUGGUAAAUUUUUUACCUAAACUCUGAUUUAGGGUUCGACUUCAAUGUUUAAGGUUUGGGGUUAGAGGUUCAUGGUAAAAGUUAUAAAAAUUAUGUGUCAAUAGUGUGAAAAUAAAUUGUUAAAAUAUCAUUAAAUAAUUAAAAAUGGACAUGUGAUGAAUAGGGUCCAUAAAAUAAUUUGAUGAAAUUUAAAAUUUAAAAUUUAAAAUUAAAAUCUUAAUAUUCGUGGAUAAUUUUUGUUAUUUCUUUUACAUAUAUUAUAAAGUUAAGAAAAAAAAUGUGACAGUUAAGAUUUCAACUUUAAGGAUUAAUAUAAAAUGUCAAUCACGUCCCUUAAUUAUGAAUAAAUCAUGUAUUGAUUAUUAUUUGACCACGUCACUUAAUUUGAUUGCCAGAGUUAGAGAAGUGUACAAUUAAUACUAGGAGUCUAGAAUUCAUCACUCACUUUUACGAGUGAAAAAGAUAAUUGUUUUAAAAUAAAUCAUUUAAAUUAAUUUUUAGCGCGGGGUGUCCCUGACACUUAUCAAACACGUUGCAGACACCGUAGAUGAUAAUUGACGAGUAAUCGAAGAAUGGCCAAAACAAGUAUGUUUUAGACUUCAAGCAGGAUUUCUUUUCCCGAUUAGACUCUGAUUAUUUUAAGGAUAUUUUAGUAUAAUUAAAACUCUAAUCCUAGCCUAGUUAAAGGGAGCUUGUACCCCUGUUUUGAUACGCCAAUCAGAAGUUGCAUAUGAGUUUUGGCAAUUAUGGAGAGUAUUUUAUACCUCUUUUGUGAGUGCCCCAUGAGAUUUAGGGUUUUGUUUAACGGUUUACUCUUUGGGAUCUUGAGCUAUCUAUUUGGUGUUUUGGGUAAUGCACAUCUAAUACAUUUAGAUUUAUUUUCUUCAUAUUGUAUUCUCGUUUGUCUACUCAUUUAGUGAAAAGUCGAUACCUCUUUUGCUCGUGAUUUUUCCCUCUUUGAGUUUUGCACGCAGAAUAUUUGUAUCCGUUCCUCUUUACUUUUACUAACUCGUUAUUUAUACGGGCUGAUCUCCUAAUGAUUGUUUUUAUUGGUACUUAAAAUUCUAAAUUAUUAUUAUUAAUUAUUUACAAAAGGUUUUAUAAUAUUAAAAAUGUGGUUAGAAGAGAAAUGAAGCCAUUGUUUUGUUGAAGAGGAAUGGGAAUGGUAGUGAUGUUUCCAAGAAGGAAACCAGUGGGAAGUUAAAGGGUAUUGGGAUUCAGUGUGUUGGGCAUAUGGGGCUCCAUGUGAUUAAUUAGUAUAUGAUUUUAUUUAAAAUUAUCGCAUAAAAUAUAUUCAGCCAAUGCGUUAAAAUAUACAACUUGGUAGUUCAAUCCAACCCACAACAAGAACCUUCCUUUCCUCUUUUAUAUUAACCAUUUUUAUAAUUUUUUUAGUAAUUAAAUAAUAUUUGAGCAUAACAAAAUAUUAAAAUUAUAAAAUAAUAACCAAGACUGAGUGAUAAUAGUUAUAGUGUUUUCUUACACAUAUAUUCUUAUUAUAAAUUAAUUAUUUGUGUUUUUUUUUAAACUCCACGAACACAAUUAAAGAAUUGCAUGCAUGAUAACAAUUUUUUUAAAAAAAUUUAAUUUUUAGAGUUGAAAAUAGAAAUCUAUAAAAAUAAAAUUUGGGUUUUAAUUUUAAUUUUAAAAUUUAUGAUUUUGAAUUUAUAGAUUUAUUAAUUUCCGUUUGGGAGAAUUGAAAAAGCUAAGCUUAUCUUUAAAUUAAACUUUUGUAUUUAAUUGCUGGAUGAGUCUAAACUCGCAUGGGUAUUAUUGUCAAUGCAAGAAAAUGUGGGUUCGAGUACGUUGAAGUAUAGAUUAGGGAGGAACUAUAAAUAGUUUUAAGCAUUAUGUCAACUAACUUAAAAAGGGUAUUUAGGAAAUAAAAUACAAAGAAUUAAGAACUUAAUUUGGUCAUUUUUGGGUUAACAGUUAUAUGAGAUGCAGUAAAAGAAAAUAAUAAAAAACGUGACAUAACAAGUAAAAUAAAAUACAUAAACGCAUAAAACUGUCUUAGUAAAAUCUCGAAAUUUUAUAUAAAAUUCGAUUACAACAUAAAAGAAAUACUAACAAAUUAUAAUUACUUGAUAAUUAAAGUUUUUUUUAUUUCAUAAGCAAAAUUAAGAAAUUGUCAUUAUCUCAUUUAUUUAGGGUAUAUUCCAUAAAUUAUCUAAAUUUUUCAUUUCAUUCAAAAUAACUUUUAAAAAUAUGUUUCAUGUUAAAAGUUUAAUUGAUACAAUUUUUUUUUUUGAAAAAGAAAAAGUGGUAACAUGGUAAAUAAGUGGGUAGCUAGUUAUUACUCGAUGUUAAAAAUGUGUUUUCAUUAAUAUUUGAAAUAAAUGAUUUUUUUUGUUAGAAAAACAAAUUAUGAUAUUUAAUUUUUAUUCAAAGCUAAUAUUAUAUUUAUAAGACUAAAAUUAUAAAAUAAAUAAAUUUAAAAAACCUUUUUAUUUUUAUCAAACAAUAUAAUUAUUUUCUAUAAAGACACCAAACAAUUCUAUAACAUGAAAGUGAAAAUGUGUUUUCAAGUCUAUGUAGUCUUGUAUAUUUGAAAUUUAACCAUCCUACUUUUAUUUUAAGAAAUGUAACCUCUCUGUUAUUUAUAUUUGAUAAAUGCGAAUCCGAUUGUUAAUAUUGUUAAAAUCCUUUUCCUAAAUUCAUAUUCAUUGCACUGUCAUUUGCUUUUAUUAAAUGACUAUUAAAAGAUGUCACACAAGUAAAUUUAAUAAAAAACUUUUAACAAUAUUAUCAAUUAAACUUAAAAUUUGAAAUUUGAAAAAGUAAAAGAAUUAAAUUCUUAAAAAGAUCUGAUAUAAAUUCAAUACUAAAAAAUAAGCAUAUAACUUUUAGCACUUAAUUUUUUAAUUUACUGAACAAAACAUUAUAGUUUAAUUUUUAAGAACACCAAUUAAAUUUCUUAAUGAUGAGAUUAAGCUGCCCUCUCAAAUAAGCUCAGCGUGAUAAGUGAGACAAUGAUAAAUUUUGGUCAUAAAAAUCAAACAUAAGAGGUGUGCAUAAUAGCCAGUCCAAAACCCCUUUUUUCUCUCUUUCUUGUUCCUUUUGAUUUUAGGAUUACAAAAAUGAUACAACUUAAAAGAAAUCAUAAUUCCCAUUAUAUCCGACCCAACACAGCAUUGAAUAAUUAAGGAAAGCCACAGCAACAACCAUAGAGUACCAGCGGGGUAUAUAUAUAUAUAUAUAUAUUCUUCUGUCUAUAAUCACUCUGCAUUAUAAUUGAUUUUUUUGAGACAUCGAGACACAUUAGAUGUGAGUUGCUGUUGUUCUUGCACUCUGGACUGAACCCAAACUCUUCUACCGAUAUGCACGCGUACCGCUUGCUUUAGUCACUUCUUCAAUAAGCCUAUACAUCCAACGAUCUAGCAUUCCUGUUUUUGCAUCACAUAAAGUGUCGGUUUAGCAUACGAAAGUAUAUGCUCAGAGGUUCAAAUCACACCCAAACCCAUAUUGAACUUGUGUAAAGUACUAAAUUACACCCAAACACCACAUAAUUAAUUUUGACCACCUAAGAUUCUGCUUUUUGGCCUAGUUGAACUUUGAAGCACUUGUAAGUAUUUUUUUUUUUUUUGGAUAAUUUAAUCAUGACCAUAGGUUGCAAACCUGUUAAAGCGAAUGUCCCUCCCAAUACAGCACAAAGUCGAGUGAUAAAAUGGAGAAAGCUUCGGCGCUCUUCUUUUAUUGUCACAGUGAUUGGUGACAAAUCAUACAAAAAGUAAACAGCUGAACAGAACGGUAAAGUAAUUAGCAACCACUAACCAAAGGUGCAAAAGAAGUAGUGAUGUUUACAAAGCCACACAUCCAACUAACCUGGCCAACUCCUAUCAUACUCCUUCAUAGGGGAAAAGUAUUCAGAGGCAGAAAACUGAUUUGUAGGCAAAACUUCUUUCCAGAUAUAUCUGUACUCGGUAGGGACAAUCUGCAAUGUAGUGAAGACAUCACUUGGAUGAACAGAGAUGUCCAAAUAAAGCAACUCAUUUCUGAAGUUAUAGACGCAAAGAAAGAUAGAGGGAAACCGAAAUGGUACCAAAGAAUGUAAGGUGCAAAAUGAAAGAGCUUGUUACAAUUUUAUGGAAUAUACCAUAAAACUAUACUUUUACAAGGAUCUAGAGUUUGGAGCAUAAAGGUAGAGCAGAAGAAAUGUACCUAGAGAGCAACACCUGUUAAUGCUUAUAGGAUGUUGCAAAAGAAGAAAAAGGAUAGGUAUGAAAAAAAUCUAGGGUCUCCUUUUAAGUGAAGGACGAGAAUAAUCACAAUUAACAAGGUGUCCUUACUGCUUUGCAGAUAGGCAUGAAAAAAAUCUAGGGUUUCCUUUUAAGUGAAGGAUGAAAAUAAUCACAAUUAACAAGGUCACCUUACUGCAUUGCAGAUAACCUUUUUGAACCAACCAAGAAGCUUUAUAUUGUGCCUCUUCCCAACCAAUCAUACACCGGUAAAAUAAGAGAUGAUACAAAGUUCAGAUAGUUAUGUGCUAGAUAACCAAUAUAAUUUGGGCUCAAGCACUAAAAGAGAGAAAGAGGAUGCAGAGGGAGGCUUUAGCUCUAUUUAUAAACAAAAAUAGCGACCAUGCAUGAUUGUACUACUUACUAGAUCAUCAAGUUCAUCAACCAAAAGACAAUUACACAAUCAAUUCAAUGCAGAACACAUGGAUCAUCAGUGUGGGUUCAUUGGAAAGGUUGAGUGGCAUUUGCCACAAUCUUUGGUAAAUAAAGAGAAAGCUUGAAAUAGAAACCUUUAUGUAAUACUUGAAUGUUCCACUUGUUUCAUGCAAAAUCCGCACCGUACCAUCAAGCGGGUUGUGGAGUCCUGGAUAUUUUGGCCCGAAUGAUAAAUCAUGAAUCAUAUGACUUACAUUGACAUGCGUUGCUCCUCCAAAGAUCUGUGAGCAAAGAAGAAAAGGACUUCAACUUAAUUUAAAGAUAAAGGAAAAGCCAUGUCAAAAAGAAACUAAAUAUGACAAUAUUCUAGAUAUCCUCAUUAUUGUAACUGCAAAGCAACUAAGAGAGAAAUAUUGUAAAUAAAUCUAGCACAUUCUUGCAAACUAAAUUUAGAAUUUCAAUUUCUUCACUAUAAGCAAAGUUUCAAAUCUUCGGCUAAAUAUGUACCAAGUAUCUACGGCAAGUUUGGUCAGCUGCAUGUGCUUGUUAUUUAAAAAGGGGAUGAUCUAUCUCUGGUGUAUAUGUAUUAAAAAUAUAUUAUUAAUAGUAAUUUUAAAAGACAUAAAAGGACAAUUUCUUUUCACCCGUUUUUUCCCUUCCUCCUCUUUCUACCUCACUCCCUCUCUCUAACUCUCCCUUCUUUAAUUCAUUCAAAAACAAAGCCCAGAAAUCACUAACAUUUCCAAAAUCCAGCACCAGCUGCCAUAGCUUGCCACUACCGAUCAGCACCAAAACUUCCCAAAUUUCAUCCAAAGCUUCCUCUAAAACCUCUUGAUCCAAUUUCCCACAUCACUUUCUUACCCCCCCCCAAAAAAAAAAAAAACAGAGAGCCUAGAUCUAAGAAAUCAACCCAUGCAUCCACCCCAAAUUUAGCCAUCCUCCAGCACUCCAAAAGCCCCAGAUUCCCGUAAACCUCUAUAACUAACCAAACCCGAAACCCUAGGAGAGGGCAGAAAAAGGAAAUAGGUCACUUGCAUAAUAGGGGACCACAAAAUUUAUCAACUAAACACGUUUCAGAAGAGCAGGUUCGAGUUAAAUUCAACACCAUAUGUCCAAAUGUGGCAUAAUAUUCACGUCUAUAAAAAAAAUAAACAGUAAAACUUUGUACAACUAGUUAUCUUGAUGAAAACUAUUUACAAAUUAACACAUUAAAAGCAGAAGAAAAAGAAAAUAGGUCAUAAUAAUCAUUGUUAUUUUAUUAUAUUUAAAACUUUGAAUUGUGAAGGUUUUCUUUCUGUUCAAAAUUUUGCAGCAUGCAACUAAUUAUGCCGUAGGAUGAUGGUAAAUAAAUAUUCAUAUAUUUUAUUCCAUUAAAAGAUAAAAAUUAGGGUUUUUUCUUAUAAUAAUAAUUCAAAACAUUCAAUAAAGACCAAAAUGGUGAAAAAAGAAAAAAAGUCAUGCAUUUCACUAUCAAUCAAACACCAACAAGAAACCUCACACGAGCUAUCACUAGAUGCACUCUAGCCAAGAAGCUGAAUACAUGCAUGAUUUAGGAUAUGACAUCAAAUUAGAUUGCUAUGAGAAAAGGUUAAUAACCAUUUGAGCAACAUAAAUGUUUAACCCAUGAACGGAGAUGUGAAAGUUUCCAGCCACCCUUUGGACAUCUAAUACCCCAUAAACCUGCACAAAUGUUACGUUAAUAGAUCAGUUGACUUUAUACUCUUUCAUUUACAACCCUUUUGGGGCCCCAAAAAUAAAAACCCUAUUGAAUAAAUACCCGGCAUCCUUCUCCAUUGUCCAAUGCUUUCUUCACCUUCUUGAUCAUAUUUUCAGCUUCUUCAUUGAAGCCAAGUGCAUGAAGCUUCUUGUCAGCAUCAUCAUGAUGUUCAUUUUCAUCAUCUGGUCACAUUUGCUAAAAGAAAUUAAUUAUUUAAGCCUUAAAAUAUCAGGUUACAACUAUUUCUCAUUUUCUAUAUAUACCUCACAUGAACCAUAAAUGACCUAAACAAAGUUGUAAAUUUUUAAAUAAAUAGAUACACACUUUGAUGUAUCCUAUAAGAAAGAAGUAAACACUCAGAUUUAUCUAAAUAAAAUCUGCAGAGCAAUUUGGUCAUUUUGACUAAAGUCAAAGAUAAAAAAUCUAGAACUUGGAAAUGUGGUUUAAGCCACAAGUCAGAAAUAUUGCUUAAUAAUUGAUCAAACAUGCUUAUGCUUCAUUUUCAAAGUGACUCAUAUCUUUUAUCAAAGGAGUAAAGCAUGGUUGUUUUAACAUUUCAUACCUUCUUUAUGUACUUUUGCUCCCUCUAUGCUUAUUCUACCCAUCCAGCCCAAAAAUAUAGGAAAGAGAGAAAAGGCAAAGUAUGACUAUCAGCAACAUUGGGAAAAUUCUAAAACGAGCUCCUCAAUAUGAGCUUUCCAUCAGCUCCAAUAUUACCAAAACAUUACAAAAGCUGUAAUAAUUUGUGUAAUUGGUUAAUGUUUUGUAUAAUUACACAAAACAUUACGAAAGUUGUAAUAAUUUGUGUAAUUGGGUAAUGCUUUGUGUGAUUGCGUAAUUACACAAUACAUUACAAAAGUUGUAAUAAUUUGUAUAAUUGGGUAAUUGUUUUGUGUAGUAGAAGCUUAUGGAAAGCUUAUUUUAGAAGCUCACCCUAAAAGUUCUCGCAACAUUGUGCAAGGGAUGUUGCAUCCUCCAUACAUAUAAUAAUGUCCAGAAAAUAUAUCCAUGCACUGUGAACAUAGAUAAAUCUCCCAAAAAGAUAAACUAAAACCAUGAGGUAGAUGUACAACACAAAGGAUAAUACCGUGCUUGUGAGCAGCAUGCUCCUUUUCCACAAGGUCAGACAAAUAUUCAGUGCCAAUGAUAUGACCAUGACUGUUCAGGCGAAGCUGCAGAAGGUUUAACAUUGUUAGCUAUAUAACAAACAUGGAAAUCUAACCAGAAAUCCUACAUCCAUUUCUAAAUACACUCAUUUCCAAAAGAGGGAAAAAGGACCUCCUAAGAAGAAUGCCAUAUUCAUUAUUAGUACAUGAUGAUCAUUAAAUCAAUAAAGUCUUGCUGACAAUAAAAAGUUGUCUUACUUUCCAUAUGUUAGUAUCAAGAUCCACUUCAUGCUUGCCUGACAUGUCAAUGGCGUCUACACUUAAUACUGCAAAAAUAAUAGAAUAGACAAACAGCCAACAGUCAAUAUUCUAAAUGAGAUUAACAGAAUCUACCCAAAAAAAAAGGACAAAGAGAGGAAGGUUUCAUUAGAAGAGAUUUACAAACCAUCGCAAGGUAAUGAAGGAAAUGUCAUAUUAAUGUGAAUUGGAAGUGUUUCUCCACGUUUCAAGUCUACAGACAUCUGACAAAUAACUGUUCAGUUAGAUCAUCUCACCUAACCUUAAAAUCUCAAACUACUAAAGACAUCUGACAAAUAACUGUUCAAAUAAGUGGCUGCUGAGUUGCAACUUGCAAGGAUUAGUUAAAAUCGUAUACAUGAUAAUUGCAUGCAAAAGAUGUUGGAAUUGUUGUAAUUAGACUUUAGAGGGACUAGUAUUUGGCAGGUCAGUAAGUUUAAGUAAUAGAGGAGAAGAUAAUAUUGAUAUGAUUGCAGAAGAUUAUUACAUAAAAAAGAAAGCAAAGGAUUAAAACCAUUCAUUGUCUUCAAUUAGAAGCCUACACAAAAAAGUAUCCAACAAACUAGCAAAAGAAGAUGUGUUCUACAGAAGCAUCAUUUAUGACACCCAAAAUUUUGCCUAUCAUUCUAUUUCAAGCUGAGAAACAAUAGAACCAUGUUCAAGGCGGCAGACAAGUCUUUUUCAAAUUUGUCUUUGGUGUGAUCACGCCCUAUGGGCAAUACCAUUAUUCCAUCCAAACAAAUGCAACAAAAUAAAAUAGGUAGCAGCUAUAAAUAAAACUGCAAAAAAAAAAAAAAUGCAAACCUGAUGAACAGUGUACGUCGAAAGAUAAUAGGUAAGCUCGUGAAAGAACAGCGUGGUCAUUAUCACUAAACCAACGAUGGACACUAUAAUAAUGAAUUUUACCAGGAAAAAGAAAAACAAUUAGUACUUGUUCAAAUGAAUAAAUAGCAUGAUUUUUUAGUUGAAUAUAAGUUAACAAUUGACAAUUCACCUAAUGCUCCCGAUUGCGUCUUCUGCAGCAGAUGUUCCUCCGCGCGAGGAAACGCAUCCAGAUUUUUAAUAGCUUGCUUCACGCCCAUCUUCCCUCCUUUUUUUUUCUCUACCAAAAACCCCCCAAACAAAAAGUAAUAUGAAUUAAUUAGAAACGUUAAAUAUUUAAAUCAAUCGUCGCUACCCUAAACCCUAAAACAAAUUAAAAGGAAACGAAGAAUUAGGGUUCGUUAGAACCAUAAAAAAGAAACCGAAUGUGAUCUGGUGUCAAAUUAGGGUCUCGUAACAGAAUAAAUACCUAAUCGGGAUAUUGUUUUGGGGGAGUUUGUUGUGGCUGUUUUCUAGGAGCAGCUUCGAAAUCUUCGUAAGGGGGGGCGUGGGAUGAAUUUUUGUUAGCCGUCAACUCCGACAGCAAGCCGCCUGGAUUUUCUUUUCUUUUUUUUUAAUUUCUUUGUGAGAAAAACAUAUCGGAACCCGGAAGCCCGCCCGAUUUGAAACUGAAUUCAAUCUAAUUUAUCAUAGUUUACUCGCGAAAUUUGAUAAAAUUUCCCCUUUGGUUUUUUUUUUAAUAUUAGUUUUGAAAUUUGACAUUUUUUCAAAAUUAAUCCUUAAAUUUAAAUUCUAUUAAAUUAAAAUGACUUGAUAUUCUAAAAUUAUAUUGUAAUAUCACUUACCUUUUUUUAAAAAAAAUAUGCAUUUUAUAAUUUUAAUAAAUUUUUAAUAAAUAUAUAAUUUUUUAAAAACUUUUAUGUAAUGAUGUGGCACAAUAUUAGAAUACAAGUUUUAAUGAAAUUUAAGUUGAAGGUUCCUAUAAAGGUUAUUGUUAAAUACACAGCAAGUGAAAAGUAAAAAUUUCAAUAAUAGAAUUAGAAUAAUAAAAAAUAUCUAAAAAGAAAAUAAAUAAGACACUUGUCCAUUGUGAUAUUUUAAUUUUAUUUGUGAAAAUUUUACUUUAUAUUAAUAUUUCGCCUAAUAAUAACCUUCUAUUAAUAAUUUAUUAUAAUUUUUUUAGUAAAAAAAAUAACUUCAACAAAAUUAAAUCUAAUAACACAUUCAUCACUAACAUCGACUUACAAAAAAAAAAAAAAACAAGAGAAGCUUUGAGAUGUAAACACCAAAUAAUGAACUUCAAAAUCCGAAGCUUGUGCCAAAUUCACCUAGUAUACUCACCUAUUUCCUUCUCUAAAAAAUACCAACUUUUUCUAACUAACGGAAGGUAGUCCCUUAGACUUGAUAAUGACCAGGCCACUUGAUCUAAUUCAAAGAUUCAUUUGAAAAGUAAGAGGGUUUGGAUAAAAAUAUAGCUAUAAAAAUUAGGUUUCAGCAAAAAAAAAAAAAGACUCAUUUAGAAAACAAGUCGAGCCUCGAGUAAGUUUUUUUUGGUUUGGGCUCGGCCCAACCUGAAAUUGAAAAAAAAAUUGUUGUUUUUUUUUCACUGUUUUGCUGCUAUUCACUAUUAUAUCAUUUUGUUGAUAUUAUUUGAAUAUUAUAUAACUCUUGUUUUAUUGUUAAUUUUAUUACUAUAUUAAGAAACAUUUGAUUGUUAAGUUGCACUAGUCAUUUAAGUAUAAAGAUUUUUUUAAUUUAUUUUCAAUUUGUUGAAAAAUAUUUAUUUUAAUACUUUUAGUGUUUUUAAUGUAUUAUAUUUUUUAAAUUUAUUUUUAUAUAAAAAAUAUUAUUAAAAAAUUUUAAUACAAGUCAAGCUAAGCUCGGAUUUUAGCUUUUUUAUCUGGGCUAGACUUAAAUAAAAAUUUAGGCUCAUUUUUUGGGACCAAAUCCACUUAUCAAACGAGCCUGAAAUUUUAUUAUGGCCCAACUCAAAUCAUUACCUGACCUGAUCCAUAAUCACCUCUAAAAAGUACUCAAAACAUGCCGGAAAUCUUCGAGCCCAAUGUAUAUCUUUUAAAACAAUCAUUAAAUUAUUUUAAAAAAUAAACACAUUAAUUAUAAACAUAGAUUUUCUUUAAUACAAUUAUUAUAUUUGUAACAAUUAAUUCAUACUCAGAUUCGCACAAAACUAAUGUAUCUUGGAGCCAUGUCGUCCCAACCUAUACGAACUAUUGUGUUUGCUAUCCGCCCAAUUAUGGUCGCUACAAAUGAUGUAUGGCGCACUAGAGGUUUCUGAAUAUAUCAUUUCACAUACAAAAGUAUAAAAAUCCAGAAAGAGAAAGCCUCAGAAAUCCACUGCAAGGUUUCUGAAUUGCAGUUUGAAGAUGUUGGAGAUCACAAUUCUAACACUAAACCAACCAUAAGAAAUUAUUAAAAGUGCAAACUAAUAGAAGUUGUCUGGUAAUGGCUUCUGCCUCAGCAUUGUAUUCCAUCUCAUGUUGGGGUAUGUUUUGUUUGUUGUCUUUUCUGUUUUAUCUACAAUGUCUUUUAAUAUUUGUUUUAUUGCAGAAGCAGAAAUUUUUAUGUGUGUAUUUGUUGGGAAAGGCAAUUAACAUGAUUGAAAAGGGUCAGUUUCAGGUAGGCAGUUGGAUAAAGUAAAUGCAUGGAUACAAGGUUGGUAUCACUUAACCAUCUCCUACCCUACAAUAAUUCUUUACUAAUAAAUUUAUUGAUUGAAACCCACUACUUAAAUUGACAUGCUGGACCAGUUUCUGCAAAUUCUGAAUGGGAGAAGCCAUAGAUUUGAGAGUGCUUAUGGAUCAUGACAAAGAACAGGACAAAGAAUUUCAUGCAAUGCUAAUGGCUCCCAAAAUGCCAAAGGCAGUGAAACCAGUCAUUGCAGCUGAUGGUGACAAUGUUAGGCGGCCUCGAGGGAGGCCAGCAGGCUCCAAAAACAAACCAAAACCACCCAUUAUCGUCACUCGAGAAAGUGCUAAUGCGAUAAGAGCCCAUGCAAUGGAGGUGAGUUCAGGUUGCGAUGUGAACGAGAGCUUAGCUAACUUUGCAAGGAAAAAGCAGCGUGGCAUUUGUGUGCUUAGUGGGAGUGGGUGUGUGACUAAUGUUACACUCAGACAACCAGCUUCAUCAGGUGUAAUUGUUACUCUGCAUGGCCGAUACGAGAUUCUCUCCUUGCUUGGAUCGAUCCUGCCCCCUCCAGCCCCACCGGGGAUCACGGGGCUAACCAUUUACCUGGCUGGCGCUCAGGGACAGGUUGCUGGUGGAGUGGUAGUUGGUGCACUCAUUGCAUCCGGUCCCGUUCUGGUCAUGGCUGCAUCCUUCAUGAACGCCACCUUCGAUCGUUUACCAUUGGACGAAGAUGAAGUUGCAACAGCAAUGCAGAACCAAUAUGGUCACCAUAAUGGUCCACAUCAUCAGCCCGACGAAUCCGAUCUGUAUGGGAUGCCGCAGAACUUGAUCACCAAUGGAACUACACCUCCUGAGAUGUACCCUUGGGCACCAGGACGAACCAUGUCAAAAACCUAACCCGGAAUAGCCAGCAAUUCUUCGGAGAUUCUCACAUCCUCCAAAUAUCCUCAUUCGGCUUCAUUGAGUAUACCUGUGUAGGACAUAUAUGUAACACAUGUUACUAUACACUUAAAUAAUGGUAGACUUAAAACAUGUCUGCAGCACCAAUUAACGGAAUGGAACUAUUGCCAUUUUUUGAUCCAAGAUAUAAGCAUAAUCCUACAAGAAAAAGCACCAAAUAUAAUGACCGAGUCCUGAGUUUGAAGCUCGUUCAUUCCUUGUAUUGUAAAAUGAGUUUCAACUCAUUCAAAACAGGGUAUAUCUCCUUUGCUUGAGGGUGCAGCCUUCCACCAGAAACAAACUCAUGAACUUCACCAUUAACUUCAAUAAGACUACACCCUGGUUCUUUCUCUAAUUGCUUCUCUUUUACUAAAAGCCUUUGCUUGAUGGCUUCCUCGAAUUGCUUAUUUGCAGCAUAAACAUUAGACAUAAGUACAUAUCCAGAGCUUUCAUCUGGAUCAAGUUCAAUAACAUGUUUAACUGCCCUUUUUGCUAUCUCAACAUUUCCAUGCUUCCUACAAGCUGAGAGCAAAGACCCCCAUAUAAUGGCAUCUCCAUUAAUGGGCAUACUUGUUAUUAACUGUUCUGCCUCUUCAAGGAACCCAGCAUUACCUAGCACAUCAACCAUGCAACUGUAGUGCUUAAUGGAUGGCUUGAUUUUGUAUUUUUCAGUCAUCAAUGAGAAGUAUUGCCUUGCUCUAUCCACCAUCCCUCCAUGAUUACAAGCCAUUAGAACACCAAUGAAACUGACAUAAUCCGGUUCAAGACUUGAAGACUCUAGCUUAGAAAACAAUCGAAUCGCUUCUUGUUCACAUCCAUUUGUAGCUAGGCCUAAGAUCAUGGCGUUCCAACAUGACAAUCCUCCCUUGGGAUACGUUCUGAAAACUUGUAGAGCCUUUUCAACAUCCCCACACUUGCAAUACAUGUCUAUAAUUGCAGUAACAAGAAUGACAUUCAACUCAAAGUUUUGGCUCAGUACAUAAUCAUGUACCCAUUUUCCUUGUGUAAUUGCUCCCAAGCAAGCACAAGCAUUUAGCAAACUGACCAUUGUGAACUCACUAGGCCGAACAUUCUCUCCUUGCAUCUCUUGAAACAGGUCCAAUGCUUCCAAAAACUUACCAUUCCUAACAUAACCACUAAUCAUUGAAUUCCAUGAAACAGUGUUUCUCGUCGCCAUUUUAUCGAACAGUCUCCUGGACUCAUCAAUCUCUCCACAUUUAGCAAGCCCCAUAACCAUGGAAUUCCAGGCGACAACGUCUAAUUCCAUUUCUUCUUCAUCAAACAUUCGCCAAGCUUCACUCAAAAGCCCACAAUUCGCAUACAUGUAAACCAUUGUGUUUCGUAUAAAUUGAUCACAGUCAAGACCCUGUUUUAUAACUCUCCCGUGAAGCUGUCUCCCAUCAGAAGCCAGACCAAGUUGAGCAUAUGCCUUAAACACAGAAGGAUAAGUUAACCUUCCUGGUUCCACAGACGAAUAAACCAACAUGUCAAUGAAAAGAGAGAUGGCAAUUUGCGGGUUAGAGCUUCGAGAGAAGCCUCUAAUGAUGACGUUCCAAGCAAAGAGAUUUGGGUUUUGGAUUCGAGUGAAGACGGAGCAAGCAUAGUUGAUGUCGCCUGCUGGAGAUGCAGAGAAGGCCAAGACACGGCUAGCUGCUAUAAUGUCAUUGAAAAGACCAGUUUUGAUGAGUUGGGCAUGGAUUUUUUUGAGGUCGUUCAUGGUGGUGCACUUGGUUUCUAGUAAGGAGAGGCAUGGCUGAUCUGAUAUGAACUUGGUUAUGGAAUUUGGAAACGGUUUUAGGCAGGAAAAACUUUGAAGCAUCGAUUUUUAUUCUGCUGCUUGUUUUCUGCUUUCUUACACUCUGUAUGUUAUCCACAAAGAGGAAAGAGCACAGGUUCUACGCAUAGGGCUGAUUGUUUUUUUUUAAUCAAGGAUUAUUUCCAUCAAACAUCCCCAAACUUAGACUUCAUUUUAAAUUAAUCUUUAAACUUCAAAUUAUUCUAAUUACAUCCUUAAUCUAUCAAGGUGAUAUCAAUUAAGUCAUCUCAUUAUUAAAACCAUUAAUUUAGCUAUUGCAUAACCAGCUCCAAACCCUUUUGUAGCUACUGCCGCUAUUUUCUUGAUCUAUCUAAUUGGUGAAGGAAGUUUUCUUUAUGGUAUGCCCCAUCUUCCUAUUUUUAUGUGUUAAAAUAUAUGCCAAAUAUUAUGUGACAUAAUUUUGCAUUAAUUUAACGUUGUUGCAUAAUAAAACUUCCGUACAAAUUUUAAAAAUCUCAAAAUUAAUAUCUUUAAAAUAUUCAUUUUUUUAAUUUUCAUUUUCGAUUAUGUCACGUGAAAUUUGAUAUGUUAUAUAAUAAUUAAAUUAACGAUUUUAAUAACAAAAUGACCUAAUUGAUAUGACCUCAAUAAUUUAAAAACGUAAUUAAAAUGAUUUAAAAUUUAAAAAUUAAUUUAAAAUCAUAACUUGGAUGUCUCAUGCAAUUAACUCUUAAAUAAAUUAUGGAGAUAGGAUAGAAAUAAUUUGAUACCUUUAAUCUUUAUUCAAGUAAAUAUAAUUAAUGAAUAUGUUAAUUAUUUUUAUUAAUAAUCUAUGUGGUAAGUAAUAAUUUAGUCACACGAAAUAAUUUAAUAAAUAUAAUUAAAGUGAGGUUAAGUGUUUAUGUUAAUAAAAAAUAUUAGUAUGGUACACUUACGUUUUGUGUUAGAUUGAUUAUUUAUUUAUAUCAAAUUAUAAAAUAAAAAUUUGAAGAUAAAAUAUACUCUAAGUAAAGUUUUCAGAAUCUGGUUAAAUCACUAAUUUAUGUGAUUCGAUUAAAUGACUUAAUUAAUACCUUAAACAGAAAUAAAAGAAUAGCUAAUUUCAUCCUAACAAAUUCUUUUUACUUUCCAUUUAUACGGGAAACUAACUUUCGUGUGAAUUACUUUCCAUUGCUUAAAUGUUACAUUUCAAGGAAAAGGAAUUAAUUUUACAUACCAAACAUUAAAAUUAUGUUCCAACCAAUUAAAUUUCUUGAAAAGUGUUAACUUUCCAUCAUAUCAAACACCCAUAAAUUGUUGUUUGAGUAUUUAUUUAUUUCUUAAAGAAAUAAAAUCUACUCUUAGCCCACUCAUUUAUGUAGUUUUUAAUCAUGUUCAAAAAAUUAUCAUUUAUAGUCUUAGCUCGAUUGGCAUCGGCAUUGUUGCCAGUGCAGGAAUAUGUGAGUUUGAAUGUGCUAAAACGUAUUAUCCUCCUAUUUUAGGGUUGAAAAGGGACUAUGAGUACGUCUAGACAUUGUAUCAAAAAAAACAUAUAUAAUAAAAACCUAUGAUGAGAUUAAUGUUAAUAUAUAUAUCAUUUAUUAGUAAAAGAUUUUUUAACCUUUUUUUCAUAAAAAUGGAAGGAAGGGAUUCUACGAGAUUUUAAUGUGGCACCUAAAAUCAAUUAGAGGUGUUCAUGGGUCGGGUCGGGCCUAAACAUGAUAUUAACAUAUUUUAUGUUUAUCCAAACCUGGCCUAACUUAAAAUAUGGGCCUAAAAUUUGGCCCAAACCUACUCAUAUUUACAAAAAACUAACUCAAGCCAAUUUUAAGUUCGCCCAUAUUAUUUUUUUUAAAAUAUUUAUUUUAAUAUUUAAUAUUUUUUAUUUAUCAAAAGAUUUUAUAUAGUCAGCUUAAUAUUAUUUUAAUGUUUAUAUUAGAAUAGUAUUAUAUAUUUAGUAUAAGUUUAUUUUUUUAAUGUAUUCUAAAUUACAUAAUAUAUAAAAAUAACAUAAUAUAAAAUAUUAUAAGCUUAAAAACGGGCUCGGGCCUUGAAUAUUCAAGCCUGAGCUCGACUCAUAUUUUAAACGGGCCUACUUUUUUUGCUCAAACCCAUUUUUCGAAUUUAAUAUUCGAACGUACUUUUUCAGAGCUAAACGGAUAACAGGAAUUCAUAAACAAGUUAAUCUUUCAACACUGCACCACUAGUUGGAUGGACAAAACUACGCUAAUUUCCCUAACCUGAAAGCCCUUCCAUGAAUCAAGCUAUUUGAACUACAUUCCUUUGUUCUUAAUUAAAUUUAAUUGUUGAAAACAGGAAUUCAUUUUAAAUAUUUCAAUACUUCAACAAAUUCAUGAGACUUGAAUUACUUCAUUGUUAGUAAUUGAGAAUAUAAUAUGUUAAAAAAAUUUGCUAUCACUAUUUUAUCAUAACACAAUUUUAUUACUCACCGUUUUAUCAAGAUUGAGCAUCAUACACAUACCACGUGAAAUUCUUGUAAUAUACUUCAUCAAAGAUAGAUGUUGAGUUCUUCCUUUCAUGGCUCACACUCUCAAGCGGCCAACUAAAAUGGGAUUUGAGCUGUACACGUGUAUACGUGUGUGUAGACCCAAAGUUAAGAGAAAAUCCCCUUCAUUUAAAAGAUUCUAUGUCUCUCCAUCACACCCUCUCUUCUAAAAAAAAUUAGAAACCUCCGCAUACGACUCUCUACACAUCCUCCAUUGUGAGUACCGUCUCCAUCUCCUCCUCAUCCCUCAAGUCAAUGUUAUGUGGGUAUGCUUGAUGGAGAUACUACAUAUUAUGCACAGCCAAAUCGAGAGAAUACAUGUUUGUAUAUAUAUAACAUUGCAGUUUACACGUAUUUCACAGGCUAUGUUUUUUAAAAUUUACAAGGUAAGUUUCAUUCAAGCUUUAUUUGAAACUAUAACCCCAAAGAAGAAAAGAAAUUAUGAAGUAAACUACCUACCACCACCCUCUUUUCUGAAACAUUAAUACAUUAAUAGAAAUCCUACUUCACAAACAGUCGCCUAUAAUUUGCUGCUUCACCACUGAUAAUUUCACAUAUCAAGUCUUUGAAGAUCAACCUCUCAACAUCCAACACAACCCAUGGAAUUUCACUCUUGCACUUGCUCCAAUCCAUUGCUCCAACCUUCAAAUCUCUCAUUAAGAUGCUUUGCACACUGUUAAUCUCAUCAUCCAACCUUGUACUUGAUACUGUUUGUAGUUUAUCAAUGUCCAAACAUGAAUCUCUUACCACAUCCUGUCUCUUUGGUUUUCUAUCCUCCACCACACAUGGCUUGUCUGUCUCAGAGCUUUCCUUCACUAACUUCCUCACACGAAUUUCAUUAACCUCAUCGAAUGUAAGCUGUUUGUGGUUCAGACUCCAUUCUGCUUCAUCAGCAAUAAGACCCUCAUAAUCUGUCAUAAGCACUAUGUUAGCCAGAUUCGAAUAGAUAUGUUUAAUUAGUCCAAUGCAUAAAGGAUAUAAGAGCUUCUCACCUUCAAAAGGAUUUGAUUUUUUCUUCACAGGAGAUGGUGAUUCGUCUCCGUAAAAUGUGGCAUCUAGAACCGAGACUGGACUUGGUUGUUCCAUAAUUGUAUUCGGAGGUUCUGUUGUUGAAAUCUGAAUGAUAGAAAUGUAAGCUGUUUUAAAAGAUGAUCAAAAUAUUAUAUGAAUGAAAUGAUUGGAAGGUAGAACACUUACUUUAUGAUUCUUUUCUUGUUUUUGGGAGACUGAUCCGUUGUGAGAUCUAUUCAUGCUUGUGACUUCAAUGUCACCGUAAGUGGCUGCACUCGAAUUGCUCUUGAAUUGCAUUGAACAAGCAUCCCCUUGGUGGCUUAAAUCUGUCAUGUCACUACUGAUAUCACUUGUUUGAUCAUCGCGUCGUUGCAAAUCGUGGGAUUUAUCCCUGGACAUCCAAUGCGGCAAGCCUGAUUCUGCUUGUAUUCUGCUUGAUUGCCUUCUGCUUCUGCUCUGCUCUGAUGCUGGACGAGUGCGACGAGGUUUUUUUUCCAAUUCAAGCUUCUUCUUAAGGCAUGUGGUCUCUGAGCUCAUUGCCAGCUUCGGGUUUUCUCCAGCAAUAGGCGACAGCUCUUUUGAAGUUUGGUUUAAUGUUAGAGUUCUGGGAGUCGUGCUCGGUUGGGGUCGGCCGGAAGGAUGUUUAGGAGAAUUAGGCCUUAGAGUUAAUUCUUUAUAUGGUCGCUUGUCAACCUUUUCAUUUCCGACUUCGGCAGGGCUACUCCGUGUGCGGAUUCUGCUUAAACUGCUUGUUGCAACCACUGAUGAACUAGAAUUGCUGGCAUUUUCGAUGCAGUUUGCUGGUUUAGUAAUCUUGACCGCGGAUUUAAGGCGUGUCGGAGAACUAGUUCCCUUAACUAUGGCUGAAACUGAAUUGCUACUUUGUAGCUUUCUCAAGUUUGGUGCUUCUGAGCUGUGACCAAGGACGCUGUUCGCUUGAGAUACAAAAAUUGAAGCUUGGUCAUCUUUUCUGGUCCCCACCAUCUGUUUAGACUUCUGCAUUGCUUCAAGUAUUUGCUUAAGGGCUCUGAGAUCCUUUCCUGACUUUUGGAACUCGAGUUCUGCCAGCCGUUUCUCAAUCUCACCAUAAACAGUUAGAGAGGAGUUCGGGGAUUUAGGCAGAGUUUCUCGACAUUUCGAAGCCGAUGUUUGAACUAUGCUUCCAUCCAUAUGCUUCCAUGGGGCUGGUUCAUUCGAACAUCUAGUUGCAAUAGAUUUCUUCGAGUCUGCAUUUGUCAAAUCGGGUGAGCUGGGUUCCAUCUUUGAAUUUCUUGGAGAACAAGAAACCCGAUUUUUUGAAUUCUCAUCGAUUCUCAAUGAGAAUGAAGGGAGAUCGUCUUUCAAUAUUUCCAGCCCCAUCAACUUGGCUACAAUGCUAGAUGGUCCUUUGCCGCUCCCAGGUUCUUGUUGUUGGCUUCUCAUUUCAUUGCAGUUCAUAUGGUUGGUUGAACGUUUCAUGGAGAUUUCCCUACUAUCUAGUGACAGCCUUGGCUGAUCUUUGAGCUUAACUUUAACUGCAUCAUGCGACCCCCUCCCGUCAUAAGAGAAACGGCGAGCAUCCUUUGCCACGAAAGUGAGCGAACCAUCAUUGCGUCCAUUGGCCGUUCUAGGCACUUCUAGAUUGAUUUUCCUUGUCAUUGCAGGUUUCGGUGACUGCGAAGGCCUCGGGGAAUCUAUGUACUUCAAGGUCUGGUGCUGCCCUGCAUCCGCUUUCAUCCCGGUUUUAACCGAUAAUCCCCGGGCUUCUCUGUAGAUGCAGUCUUUAACCACAUUUCUGAGGUUAACUGAAUGUUGGCAUGACUGCAAAGAAACCGUCGAUUGCUCAUUGGAUAUUUCCUGCUUUGGGAUUUCAGGAAAGCUGGUUUGGCUCGACGAAGACCGAUGCUGAUCGAGUCGAGAUGCUUUGGUGCAGUCAGCAGAUGAGUAAGAGGACGACGAGGUUCGGGGUGAUUCAAACGACAACCUUUGAUUCUCUUUCGCAGUCUUUUUCAGAUUAUUUUCCUGCAGCCGUAAAUCAAGUUAAGUUAGCUUUAAUUUUGUUCGGGUCAAUUCCCACACCAUAACAGCUGACUAGACAAUUCCUUACCUUUAUUCUUUGUGAAGCAAUCUUUGCCUCUGUUCCAUGCUUGCCAAUUGAACCUAUAGUAAUUGCAGAAGCAAAAUUGAGUAAAAUGUUAAAAGAACUUGUACUGAAAUUAAUUAAGCAGUAAGAGCAGAGAGGUAAAUUACCAGGUGGAAGGCAUUUGUGGGAUGGGGUGGCAAAGCGUCGGCUACCAAGGAAAUGGUGGAAGAGACCAUUCAUGCACCCAAUCUGCUUCUGCAGAUCUGGGUUUUCAUCUGACAAUGGAUACAUAAACUUUGCCGACAUCUUCACUUUAUCUCUACAACAUUUACCAUGCAUUGCCAGAAACCAUAUCAACUCUUGUCCAUGGGGUAUAUAUCGGGAUUGUGAAAUCUGAAUGCAGACGUUUUAUAUCUUUGUCCUGGUGAGAAUUCAGAGAAUAUUCAGAGGGGGAGGCACAGAUUUAAAGAUAAAAAGAGAGGAACUGAAGGAACCCCACGAUUCUAAUUCUUCCCAUUUGCAAUGAGAUAAAAACGUUUAUUCCUUGGGCUUCACACAACAAUGGCAGACAAUAUCUUCUGCCACAAAGUCGAGAAGGAACAAAAACAAUUAAACCGGAAUAUGGGACCCAAAAACCCAAAACCCAAAAAAAAAAAAAAAAACACUUGGCUUUUGGCUCUCUCUAGGAAAAUGGCAGCUAAGAUUUUUUGAAUAUUUAACAAGAGGGAGAGGGAUGCUAGUCUACUAUAUAUGCAGGCAAUGCACUGUGAAAUUCUGCAAGAAGAAUGAAAGGUUGUACUGCCAACUAGGAUCAGGAACUCGCCCCCAAAAAGAAAAUCAGGAAAAUAAAAAAAAUUAUUCAAUUUGUCAAUUUCAAAAAAUUAUUAUUAUUUAAAUCAAAAUCAGACCAAUUUUAUUUUUAAUUUAACUUAUAGUUAAAAGUUAAUUUUUUUAAUACUAUUUAUAUUAUAAAAAAAUAUUCUUUAAUAUUAAACAUGAUUUUGAUCCGAAAUACAAUUCAUUUUCAAAAUUAAUUUUAGUCUAACCAUUAUCAUCGUUUAUCAAAAUAUAUAUAAUUCAUAUUUCAUAAAAAAAAUCAUAAAAUAAAUCUAAGUAUAAUAUUAAAUGAUAGUGUUAAAAGGUUGUCAGUAUUUCAUUUUUUUCAUAUUUUAAUUUUUUUUAAAAUUUAUAUAAAUGUUUAUAUUAUUUGUUUUCAUGAUAUAAUAUAAAUUUAUUUUUGAAAAUGCAGGCAGAUAGAGAUGUGAUAGUUGUGAAUGGGUGGGUGGGUCAGAUUGCAUGUGGACAAAAUAAUGUGCUCGGUCCGAUGGUUUCUCCCAUGACCAUGUGGAGUCUGUCGCGGAAGAAAAAAAAAGUGCAUUUUAUGUACUGGAUAAAAAUAAUUCAUUCAUAUAAAUCCCACCUUUCUUGAAUCAUUCUCUUCCACCCCCUCCCCCUUUAACUUCGAUUCCCUACUUAGAUUUUGAUCCUUCAAUCAUUGAGAUUAAUUAAUAACAAAUAUAAAUUAAAGUUAUUAUUUAUUAUCAUUUUGACCGUCCAAGCCACCUAUUGCACCCAAAUUUCCAUACUAAAAACCAAUCAAAUCCAGAGAAAUUUUUGUUUGAAAUAGAGGCCACACAUCAUUUUAUAUCCUUCUCUAUUUAUUUAAUUAUAUUUUAGUUUUUUUUUCAUGUUAUUAAUUCAUAAUUUUAGUAAUCCUUUUGAAUUUGAAUUUUAGAAUCCUGAAUCCCGAACCUUAGAUUCUAAACUUGAUUUUUAAACUUGACCUUUUAAUUUAGGGUUUAGGGUUAUAAUUCAAAAUUAGAGUUUAAUGUUUGAAGUUUGAGAUUUGAAUUCAGAGUUUAAUUUUGGGAUUUAAGAUUUAGAUCCAGAGUCAAUGUUCAAAUUAAAAAAUUUACGAAUCGAUAACCUAAAAAAUAUAACUGAAAUGUUAUUAAAUAAUUAAAAAGUAAUAUAAAAUCACGUAUGCGUACAAUCAUUUCUCAAAUCACAUAACAAUAUUUAUAUUUCACCCAAAAGAAAUGCAUCAAAUCAAAUCCCAUUAGCUACACAUCUCAUCCAUCCCCGAUAAAAACUUUGCAAAUUAUCCCAAUUAGUAGGUUAAUUAAAUUACGGAUAAAAUUAGUAGGAGAAUUGAAAUAUAGCAUGUGACAAGAUUGCUGGUAGAUAGACAAUCAUUUAAUGUGAGUUUUGUCAACUUGGAAUGAAUGCGAGGAAUGAUCUGUCAAAACCUAGGAGUACCUAACAAAAUGGACUGCCUCCCUCAAUCUCUCCAUAAUAUACAGUACAAUUUCGUCAUCAUUUUCCUAUAAUUAGCACUUAAUUAUAUAUUUAUAGGGAUAAAAAUAGUUCCACAACUAUAGGCGCAUGGCAUAAUGGCACCAUCCCUUCCCCUUUUUUUACGACAAGGAUGUGUGAAUUCCUUCUUUCACAGCACCAGGAUAAACAUAAUUAUAAUUUUAAAUAUAAUUAUACAGGUUUAGGGGAAGCAAGUGAUAUGGCUUAGUUGCUGUAAUUGGUCCUUCUUGCCUGUCUUAUGAAAUGUAGCUAUCCUUCAUGUGAUUCGCUCACAUGAUGCAUGUGUUUUUGUAUCCCUUUUUAUGUAUCCAUUACCCAUCUCUUUUUUUUUUAUAUAUAUAUUUCUUCUUCUUAAUUGCAUACUAUGAUUAUGCAAGCAAUACCACUUCCCAAUGUUUGCUGUUCAUUAAUAAAUCUUAUAUUUGACUAUAAAAAACAAAGCCUAAAUUGAAUUUGAAAUGAUUUUUUUAAAAAUUUAUGGAUUUAUAGAAUGCUUAUUUAAUAGUGAAUUUAAAAUAUUGGGGUAUGGAUUGCAGGCUUCACAAGAAAUAUUGGGAGUUGCUCGGUGUUCAUGAUUGAACUCUGGGGUAUCCUCAAUGGGCUCCAAAUAGCGUAGAGUCUCGGACUGAAGAAAGUGGUGCUUGAGACAGACAGUAAGGAAGCUAUUCAAGUAAUUUAAGAAUCUGGAAAUGAGCAGUAUGGUUCUUCUGUGAUCCAUAACAUCAAAUAGCAUCUCCAACGUGAUUGGACAAUUCAUUUAAUACAUGUUUUUAAAGAAGGCAACAAGGUAGCGGGUGGUUUGGCAAAAAUGGCAUUAUCGAGAGCUUUGGGCAAGGUUACAUUCAUGCAAUCUCAUAAAAUCCUUCAAUCUCUACAUAAUGAUCUAUCUAAUGCAAUAUGGUCUCGUUUUAUAUUGAUUGGAGUUAAUCUCUCUUUUGGAUAAAAAAUAGUGAAUUUAAAUUUCAUUGUCAAAAAUUAUUUCAGAUUUUUAAUUUUAUAAAACUCUAUAAUAUAUAUUUAGCUUAAUUUUGUAAAAAAAUAUAUAUAUAAUUCAAAAUAUUAUACCAAACCCCUCCCUUAUACCAUUCUUAAAUAUUGCUGUCAUUAAAAAAAGUUUAUACAGCCACUAAGCUGAUAAAUAAAAAUAUUGAAGAAGAUGAAAAGGGAGGGUUGAUGCUGACAUUUUAAGCUGUUUCAUAGUUUGAGCAUUAAACAAGGGAAGGGUUAGGGUUAGGGUUUACUUUUUCAACAGUUUUAAAUCGGUUCAUUCCCAAUUAUAUAUUUAAAAAAAAAAUUGGAUUUCUAACCUUUCCAAUAAUUUCUUCCUUUAUUCUCAAACCAUGUAUUUAAAAAGGGAGGUGGGUCCAUGCAUGCAUGCUCCCAUUUGAAGGUGUUUUAACUUUUCAUAAAAGGAGGCCUCGGUAGUGUGAACCUUAAACAAAGGGGGGGGGGGGAGGGGGAGAGAGAGUUUAGGGUUUAUUUGUGAUGGUGGAAGUUAAGUCAAGAUUCCAUCUUAUCCCCCUUUUUUCUUCAUCGAUCAUGUGCAUCAAAGAUAAGCUUUUGAUUACAGAUCUAACCAGAUUUGAAUGUACGAACCCCAAUAAUCUGAUUUUUCAAACUUUAUAUACAAAUAUAUACAUACUUUCUUCCCAGCUUCCUAUAUGCUUAUGCUUAAUUAAGGAAGAACAUGUCCAUCUUUUGUGAGAAUGAAUUACCACCCAAGAAAACGUAAAUUGACCUACUUCAAAUAUUGUGUGGUCCUACAGAUUAGAUACAGUGUAAAAUAAAUAUAACCCGAUGCUUAUUUUGGUGGUGUUAAAAUGUGUGUUUAUGGGAAAAUGUGCUGUAUUUAUUUGCUUACCAUAUCUUGAUGAAUCAGAUAGUGGUUGGGAAAUCAGAUAUUUUCCCAACUGAACAAUCUGCAGAAGCAUCCAAUGGCUCCUUCUUCACUUCAUGGAAUCUUUGAAUAUUCUUAUUUGAUUAUACUAAUUACCAUAUGAUUACGAAACUCUAAUCUUUCAGUCUAAGAGAAACGAAGAAAAAUCACUACCGUAUUUCUCAUUGAAAUUGGGCAUCAUAACAGUACUGUAAUUCUUGUAAAUCAUGACCUUUUAUAUUGUUGGGGUGUAGGUGAAUUUUAGAUACGAUUCGGGUGUUCAAACGGUCGAUUCAGUUAUUAAUCGAAUUACCCGAAAUGUAAAAAUUUUUAACCGUUAACCGAACUAAAUUUGUUUUCAAAUACAUUAACCGAACCGAAAUAACCAAAAUUUAUAUAUUUUUGUCUUUUGGUUAAAAUAAGUAUAAAACAUAUAAAAAAAUACAUGGCUAAUGUUCAUUUUUUUAAUAGUUCAAAAAAUAUAAUAUAUAUUAUUUAUUUCGAUUAAUAUAAAAAAUUAUUAACCGAUCUUCGAUUGAACUAUAAAUUCGGCGAUCAACUGAUUAACCGAAUUAAAUCAGUUCGACCGGUUAAUUUUAUUUUAACCGAACUAUAAACAGUACCUUAAUGAUCCAUAUAUUUAAUACACAUAUUUUAAAUUUUUUCAAAAGAUUAUAUUCACCUUAAAAUGUGAAAUCAAAUAUAAAAUGUCAAACAUAAAUAUUAUAAUUAAUUGUAAAAAAAGAAGUGCAGUAAUCUGGAUUACUAUAAGAUGUGUGGUGGCAGGGAAUGGGCAAUGGACCGACCUCAAAAGCUUUAAAAGUCAAUGCCAGUGCCUGCUUUGAUGACAUAAAAGUCAUGAAAAUGCACCUUUACUCACUUCAUAGUUCAUAUAUAUAUAGGUUGUCAAGGCUUGAAAAAUGAAUUUAAUUUGAUACAUCAGUAGUAAAAUCUUUUUAUUUUAUUAGAAAAAAUCAUUACAUAUUUUUAUUUGACAAGCUUUAUAAUUUUUAAAAAUAUAUAAUGUGUUAAUUAACUCAAAAAUUAUAAUCGGUUUUAGGUGGAUGUUUGAUCAUUUAAAAUCUGCCAACAAUUUUUUUAUUUAUAAUUUUGUUGUUUUAUCUUUUUCAUAUUUGUGUUCUAAAAACAUAUUUUAUCUUCGGUUUUUAGUUAUAUUUAUUAUUAAAAAAUAUAAAAUUAUCAGAAAAUUUUAAGAGAGAAACAUUUUAUGAAUAAAACCUGAAAAUUUUCUAAAAUAUCAAGUUUUUUUGUAUUGUUAUUUUUUUUAUAUUAUAAAAAAUAUUUAAAUACCAAAAAAGCACAUCCAUAUGCUACAAUGAUUUUUGGGAAAACUAAAAAGUCAUUAAUUCACCUAAAUAUUGUUUUUGAAAAAAAAAACCUUAAAAUAAAAUUUCCACUGCAGAUGAUUUUUUUUAUAUAUAACAAAAGACUCCCACAUAUAUACGACAUCUGCCCAUUUUUUUUCCUUCUUUUUUUUUUUUUUUUUGAUAUGAGAACACUAGGGGUAAAUAUCAAUUUCAAGCCUUCUACUUUUUAAAUUAUAAAAAUAAUUAAAUUUUAAUUUGAUCCCUAUAUUUCACUUAAGUUUGAGAUUUAAUCUAUAUAUUUUAAUUUUAAUAUAAUUUGAUACUUCAACUUUUAUAAAAACAUUAGUUGGUUUAAAUAUUUUAUUUUAAUUAAAAUGAUAAUAUGAGUUUUAAUUAAAAUUCUUUAUUAGACUGAAGUCCGUUAUAAUAAUUUUUCUUUGUCACGUGAAAACCAAAAUUUAUUUUAUUUUUUUCUCAAACUGCCACAGAAAUUGAAAAACAAAAUAGAAAAUGCAGCACCGUAAGGCACAGUACACUUACUCCAUACUCGUGCCUAAAUGUGUCCGCCAAAAAUCUCACAUGAAAAAACAAAUACAAAAAAGGGGCAACAUAGGCUGAGUAUAUGAAUAAAUUAUGGUCAAACUACAUGGAACAUUUUCGAAAAAGCAAUUCCCUAAUAAGAAAGGAUUGCUCGACAAAAAUUUAUUAAACCCGAAGCUUAGUUUAGUUGGUUCAUAUAAUCAAAUUAGGAGCUCGAGCCUAGCAUCAACUAUCCUUCUUCCACUAUCAAAAUAAUAAUAAAAAUAAAUCAUCCUUAGACCUUUACUAAAAUCUUGUCUCCUGUAAUUUGGUUAGGCUAAGUCUUGUUUCGAUUAAUAUAAUCAAAACUAGAUGUUAACCUGUAGUAGUUGCUAAUGAACACAAGUAUCGAUAACCCGGCUGUAGAAGCCCCAGUCAUGGCUGCUUUCAGUGAUAGCUAUCUGGCCAAAUGGGUUUAGCUCUAAAAAUUUCUGUACAUUCUCUGCUAAAGCUAAUCUUUCCAAAUAAACUCUAAGCUCACCUCCGACACCUGAAAGAAAUAAAACCAACUUACAAACUUGCAGGCUAACACGACAGUCAACAGAAUAAAAACCAUACAUACAAACUUCAGCAACGAACAAGGAGAUAAACAGGAGUUAUUAACCUACGGAACUUAAUAGUGUUAUAAAUGAUUUCAGAAGUCAUCUUACCCAAUGAAUCAUCGUCCAUGUCGAACUUGAAUGGAUGAGGAAAUAUUGCAGUACCCAACUACAAGAUCAAAUAUUAACGGAAAACGGAGAACGUUAAUCAGGACCUACUCAAAAGGAUAAUGGAAAAUAUUAGGGACAAACAGCAAAUAAGAUAAGCCUAUUUACUUACGGGAUUAAGCAGUGCUUUGUAAGGAGAAUCAUCUAUCAACAAUGUAUUUGAUUCAUUAUAAUAUCCCUUCUCCCAUGGAAGAUUAGGAUCGCUUUUUCUCCAAAGCUUCCUCAACUCUUUGAAAACUAAGGGCUUAUAUCUAUUCCCCAGAGUUUUGAAUCGUGUUGUGGUGCAGUAAGAUGAAUCCUGAUAAAUCAUUGCGCAUAAAGCAAGUGGCUCAGAGUUGGAACUCUUCUAGUUUAAUUGCAUAUGAAAACAAAGAUGACCUGAAAACAUACGGGGGACAGACGCGCACCAAAAGACAAAAACUUGUACAGCAAAGCAAGUUUAACAGAAAGCAAAAGGAAACAAGUUAUAAUUACCCAACAAAAAAGCAAUUUUUGUUUCAUAUCUCCCAUCAAAAAGUCUACAACUCUUUCCAACUUUCUCCUGUGAAACAUAAUUGAUCCAGCAAUUAACAGUAAUAUAUCAAUGUUCAACCACAACAAAAAUGGCAAUCGAUUGUUUGUUUCUUAUUGAAAAAAUACCUGUUUCUUGAAGACCAGAUACCAACUUCAAACUUCUCAAAACAAAACCUUAAAAAGUCAUCGCAGAAGGGUCUCUUAAAAACUGAACAAAGAAAGAAACUCCCAAUUAGCUUUUAAAAUAGUAUGUAAAUGAAAAGGCAUUAACACGAGCAAAUAAAUUUUUUGAGAUCAGGUUUCUUACUUGCCCGUCCUGCAAUGUAUGCAUCUGCUUUGUAAUUCUUUGGAGAACGAUAGAUUAUAUCAGCAAGUAAUCCAUUCACAUCAAGAACAAGAAGUUUUUUCCUCAAUUGACUAACAGGAGUCUUAACAAUAGUAAGAGAAACAUCAUUUGUCUCAUUCGCAUAAACGGAAUCACCAAUUUCUUCACUGUUUCUUCCAUCCAAUAAAGUUAGAGUCGAGAUACUAUUUACAAGACCACUCUUGGCAAGAACAAUUUCCUCAGAAAGCUUAUCAGUUUGACAUUUACCACCAACGUCUGAGGAACCAGGUUGCUGCUUUUCCAUCCUUUUCCUAAACUCGGUUUUCUUUUCUAUAAAAUGAUCGUACUUCCACAGAAAUUCAGGCUAUCUGUAAAAUUCUGAUAAAAAGAAGGAAACUUAGUUAUUAGCAUAACAUAGCCAUUGUAUGUUACAUACAAAAUUUAAGCUCGGCGCUAUCUGUUAACUGUUGAAACUAAAACUUCUUCUCCAUCAUCAGAUCAAUCAAUCAAAGCAAUGGAUCAGACAACUAGGGGUCCCUAAACUCAUAUCAGAGCACGGAUGCUUCAAGAAAAAUGGAAGUCUAGAAAACGUAGUUGGGAACAAUCUCCAACAAGCAUCAUAGUUUUCUCUUUUAUGAACCCACAAAACCUAUCAAAUAACAUCAUAGUUCCACUAUCAAAUUCCAUUUUUAACUAUACUUUUUUAUUGAUGAUACUUGUAUUAUAAGUCAGUGGAGCCUAAAAACUUGAGAAACCAUUUUUACACCUUGUCGAUUGUCCAACUACGUUAACUUGAAAAUGAUUAAAAGUUUGAUUCCUUAACCGACAUCGAAAACAUGGCAAAUCCAUAAAUCUGCUAACAAAGUUCUACACUCCACAGCUCUAAUGCAAAACAUAGAAUUUAAAGCUUACAGCCAUAUAAAAAAGCUUCAAAAAGAUUGGAAACAAAAAUAAUAAACAACAACCAGAACGGAAUUUUCACAGGCUACAAAGAAACAAACAAGCAAAUUAGCAUAUUUUAAAUGUCUAUUUGAUUAUAAAAAUGAAUUUAAACCGAAGAAGGUUAAAAAAAAAAAAAAAGAAACCCAAAAAUUUUAUGAAAUCAAACAAGGAAAGAGAUGAAGAGAUAAUUAAGCUCUAAUUAAAAGAAAAUUACCAUCAAAUUGAACUCUAGUUACGCAGCAAAAGAAAAAAGGGCGAGGGAGAAACGACCUUUGGGGUAUAAUUGUUGACGUCAGAGAUGGUUUUACUUCGUACAGAAGACAAGAAUCUUAAACGACAUCUUAUAAAUCGUUCUUUUGCUUGCCAGAUACAGUAGGAUUGGUUUCUCCUAAUUUUUGUCUAAAAGGGGUUUGUUGUGGAUUUAAUUGGGCUGGGUUCUUGAAUUCCAAUGCAACAAUAAAAUUUGCUUUUCCUUGACUGCCGACCUAUGAAUAGACUUGCCUAAGGUCAAGUCGGCCCGUCUGAAAAGUUGAUAAAAAUAUAACUUUAAAAAAUGAGUUUAGUAAAAAAUAAGGUCUAUUUUUUAAAUUGGUCUGGUCUCGAGUAAAAUGUUUUACCCGUCCGAAUUUGUAAAAAUAAAAAUUGUUAUCUUUUACUAUUUUAUCACUGUUUUUUCAUUAUUUUGUUAUCAUUUCGUUAUUGUUUUGUUGUUAUUAUUCGGAUAUUAUAUAACUCUUGUUUUAUUAUUAAUUUUGCUACUAUUGCAGAGGUAUUUGCUUGUUAAGUUACACUUAUCUUAAUGUUAUUUAACUCUUUUUUUAUUUGUUGGAAAAUAUUUAUUUUAAUAUUUUUAGUGUAUUUGAGGUAUUGUAUUUUUAAAUUUAUUUUUAUAUAAAAAUAAUAAUAUAAAAAAGUCCAAUAUGGGCAAACUGAGUUGGACUUGAGUUUUAACAUUUUUUGUCCAGAUUAGACUUGGAUAAAAUAUUAAGUCUAUUUUUCUGCAAACUGAGUUGGACUUGAGUUUUAACAUUUUUUGUCCAGAUUAGACUUGGAUAAAAUAUUAAGUCUAUUUUACUAAGUCUAAAUCUAGAAAACGAACCUAAAUUUUUUACUUAAUCUAAUUCGACUCAUAAACAACUCUAUCUAUAAACCUAAGACAAGUUCUUUUGGGCCAAAGUCAAAUCUUUAUUAUUGUAUAUUUAUUAAGGAGGAAUUGAGGAUUUAUCUACUUUUGCAAUUAUUCUUUUAUCGAAAUUUAUAUAAUAGUUAUUAAAAAUUUUAUAUUAUAGUUUCCUUUUCACUGGUUGAUCAACAAAAUUUUUAAUAUUCCAAACGAAAAAAAGAAAAACCAUAUAUCUUGCUUCAUUUUUGUUUUACUUUUUUCUUAAAUCUACUUUUUUUUAAUUUCUAUUAAUUUUUUUAUUUAGUUUGGCUGUGUAUGUGUUCCAUAACCUAAUAUUUUUAUUAAACAUGAAAUUUGUCCACAAAAUCAUAAAAAUUGGAUCAACCAAUUUUUUCCAGUUUGAUUCACGGUUCAAUAAUAAUUUAAAGUGAUUCACGCGAUUCAAACGAUUCAAUUACUACUUUUGGACUAAUAUACUAGUUGAUUCUCGAUUCAAUUAAUUUGAUUUAUCGAUUUGAUCUAAUUUAAACAACUUUGCAAAUAAUUUAGAAACUUAAAAGGGAGGAUAAACAUAUAAACUCAAGGGGUCAGCUUUAAGGUUUCUAGUGCAUUUCUUUGAACACAAAAUAGGUUAGAAAGUUGCUGCAAUUUUUGGAAAACAAUGUCAGUUGAUAUAAGAAAAAAAAAAAAAAAGAGGUGAAAAAGAUGAUCCAAACCAAGAGAAGAAGGGACUGGAUUGAAGACAAGGUAGGAAAACAAAACGAAACUCUAAAGGACACGUGGAAAAGAUGAGAUUCAUUGCUUAAGAAAGAAAAAGCAAUAACUUUGCAAGGGGAGAGGCAAGGGCAUUCCCCCCCCCGCCCUCUUUAUACAAUUACUAUUUAUACAUCAAACUUUGAAAUUAAGGAUAAUACGAGUUUAAGUAUAUUUAAAUUUAAUUUCUUUUAAGUAUUGCAACAAUAAUAGUUUCAAUUAAGCUAAGACUUAAGUGAUACUUAAAUUCACAUUCUUUUGAAUAUUGCAAUAACAACCAUGCUAAUUAAGUCGAAAUUUAAUUGAUACAUGGUCCAUUCUUGAAUAGAACUCAAAAUAUUAAUAAUUAUUUAAGAAUAAAAAUAUCUUUUAGUAUUUAUUAAAAAAUAAUAACUUAAUUUAAAUUUAUUUAAUACUAAAAUUUUAAGUUCCGAUUUUCAAAAUUUUAUAAAUUUGCCUCCGCAUCUAGUGCAAAAUGGUAACGCGAGGCAAGGCCCUUAAUGCAUCCAAAAAUCCUAAAAAGUUUUGAUGGUUUUUUUUUAAAUAAGAAUAUAAUGUAUUUCAAUAUUUUUAACAAUAAUAAUCAUACCAAUUAAAUUAAGACUUAAUCGACCGCUCUUAAUUUUAUUUUUAAAAUUCUUAGUAACUCUCUAAACUUUUUUAAAAUAUUCAUCUCCCGCAGCUCUAUUUGAUGUACACCUCCACAUUUUUCUCCUCUAAUAGCUUUCCCUUUACAUCUUCUGCUAGCUAUAACCUUAGUGUUACGUUAGGUGCGUUUCAUUGCGCCCAAAUCACUGUUAUUUUGAUGAUUCCUUUACAUUAAAAAAAUACAACUUAACGAAUAAUAAAAGUGCCACGUGCCCCAAAUGAUCAUAGUUUGAGAAUAACAUAUGGUCAUGACCUUGCAUUAAUUGAACUGCAAGAGUUUGGACCACAUAUCAAAUGAUGACUUGGUUAGCCACUGUGGAUUCUAUUCCUCCUCCCUUACAUUUCACAUAAUAUUUUUUUGUGGUAUAAUUUUUAAAAAUCAAUAAAGGCGUAUCAACAUCAGAUAUCUAUAAAAUUAGAUGCGAAUGAGGGAGUUUUGCAGGUGAGUUAAGUUAGUAGGAUCAUGUGCACAUCAUGUUGGCCAUGAUUAUUACAAACUCAUGCUCUCUUUUCAUUUCAUUUAAUAAAUUAUACUCCACUUUUUGCCUCUCACCAUCACAUAAAGAUGUUCUCUUGGAAUAAAUGGAAACCACAUGCUUUUUUAUCACAUCAUAUUUACCACCUGCAUGACGUUUGAAAGAUGUUUAGAACCGCUCAUUUUCAAGUGAGUUUAUCUUUAAUUUUCUUUUAAUAUGUAAUCAACUUAGUUUAUAAUUUAACCCAAAACCUAAGAAAUGCAACCAUCUUAAUUAAAAAUUCUUCCAAGAUAAUUGCUUUUUCAUGCAUCAACCGGGAAACAUAAAUAACAUUACUUCAUUAAAUUUAUCGUUUUCAUACAAUGUAUAAUUAAAAUUAUUAUUAGUCAGAUCUUACCUCGAUUAGUAUAGGUAUUGUUAUCAAUAUAGAAGGACGUGAGUUCAAGUACAUUGAAACAUAUUAUCCUCUUAUUUAUAAGUUGAAAGGGGUUAUGGAUAAUUUUAAGCAUUAAGCAACAUUAUAAUCAUUCAACACUAAGCACAAGUCUUUAAGAACAACCAUUUGCUUCAAUCUUGAAUACUAUAUUCUUACCGAGCCUCGUAUAAUUAAAAUAAUAGUUAAUAUACGUAUAAUUUAAAAAAAAUUCAUCAACAUAAUACAAAUAAGAUAAAUAUGUCAAAAAAUUUAUAAAAAUAUACAACUAUUAAAUACUUGUGAUGAAAAUAGAAACACGAAAUCACAAAUUACCAAAAUCAACACAAACUUGACAACAAGACAAUGGCAUAUCAAUGGGCAUUAAAUUGGGUAUACCACAAAAGUCAAGCCAUUAAAAAAAGCUUCAAAAAACAGGAGCCUCCAACCAGCUUUGACACCAUCUUCACAAGACUUGAGAGAGAGUCCUAGAAAGCUACAUGAUUUUUUUUUUUUUCACUUUUUCUUUUCUUUAUUUAUUUAGUUAUUCACUUUGGAAGCAACUUGGAAGUUUACUUUUAUCAAGUACCUGCAUUUGCAUGAGCACGAAUCAAUUGGAUAAUAUGUAUUCUUUAAGUUUGUAAAGUAUAAUAUCAAUUUAAUUUUUAAUAUUUAUAUUUUUAUUAAUUUACUUUUUAAUAUUAAAUAUUUAUAUAGGCUGCAAAUAUGAGUUAAAAUCCUGAAGCAUACGAAGAAACAAAGGAUUAAUGGCUGCUAUUUGAAGUUUUCUUUAGAAUAAAAAAAGCAAUUAAAGAAAAAAUGCUUAAGCGGAAUCGUGAUUAAACUGACAUCAAAGUUAUAUUCUGCGAAACUAGGGCGUUGACAGGGAUAAAAAAAAAUUCAUUUCUUAUUUAGUGUAAAACAAAUCUUAAUUAAACUAACUACCUAAAGUUCUAAAAAUAAUUAAUCCUAUCAUUCUAAUACUUGCCUAAACCUCAUUCUCUAAACUAUUACCUCUACAUGUUUUUAAACUGUGUGCCUAACUCACUGAAAUCUUAAUAGUUUCUAUAAAAUUCCACACAAAGAAAUUUUUAUUUUUCCAAACACGCCAUGCUAACAAACCAAGAAGAAUCGACCAAGGCACCCCAAUCCCUUCUAUCCGUCCAGGAUUCUCUGGAUUUGCUUUGACUCAAUUGGAGAGACAUUAGGAAAAAAAAAACUGCGACUAACAAUCCUUUGGCACAAAGUAUUUCCUCAUUUUGACUAUUUAAAUUUUUUAAAAUUUUAAAUCAGUCUCUUCUAUAAAUAUAAAAAUUUGAUUUAAAUUUUUUUUAAAUUAUAAAGAUAUGGGCUAUUAAAAUAAUAAAAUUAUAUUUUUGCUAUCGUAAAAAUUACAAUUUAAUUUCGGCCCCUUCUAAAACGAAUUUCUGAUUUCGCCCCUGUUGUAAGUAUGAGAAUUUGAGUUCGAUCCCAAACAACUUUAUUUCCUUCUUUAAUUAUAUAUAUAUAUAUAUAUAUAUAUAUAUAAAAACAUUGGACCAUAUUAAAAAUAAUACUAAAUAAUUACUAAAACGUGAUAUAAAAAUUAAUACAUGAAUUUUUAAAAAAAAUUAUAAAUUACAAAUCAUUAUUAUCAUAAUCAUCGUCAAUAUUCAUCAUGAUCUAAAAAGAAGUCUAAAAGUUACAACCAUUUAAUUCCACAUCAUUCGCACGUUAUUUGACCAAUAAAUAAGACAUUUUUUUGUUUGGAAAUUUCCAACAACAUAAUUAUUCCAAUUAUGCCAUACAUUUUGUUGUCUUCUAGCUUUUAUUCAUUGUAGUUUGAACAAAUUUUUAUUUUUCCUUUUGAAGAUUUUAAGUUAAAUAAAAAUUUCGAAAUUUUGUGGUUAAAUAAUUUCCUACAUUAUUAUUUUUUAUGAGGUUACACUAAAGAAUAAAAAAAUUAAAAGGAUAAGUUUUUUCUUUUUUUAUAUUAAGUAGAAAAAUUUUACGUAAAAAAUUACUUGCGGUUAGUUCUUACAAAGCGAAUCCGUUCUUGUUUUCACUUUUUGGCCCAAUGUUUUUUCAAUACAAUUUCCUAUUAUUUCCAUUACCGCCGAAUCUUUGUUCGUGAAUGUUAAUACGCGUUUAAGAAAAGAGGACUUUGGUAAUUGCCUGAAUGUUAAUUGCAUUAGUUAAUUUUAUUUAUUGAUUUUAUUAACGAUUUAUUUAAAAGUGUUUAGUAAAGUUUAGUCAAUAACUAAAAGCUGAUACGUGUAAAAUAAUAAAUAAGCGCAUGGCACAUUUUAUUGUUAAGUAUUUAUUUGUUUAUAAUACUUUAAUUUUUAUUGGAUGAAAUUAUUGAAAUAAACACUAUUAUUCAAUAAUUAAAAUAUCAAUUAUGAAAAUUAAAUUAGUGAAUAUUUUUGAAGAUUUAAAUAAAAAAAUUUCUUAAGUUACUUAUUUACAAAUAUUAACCUUGUGAAAACUGAUAAAUGUUAAUAGUGUAUCAAUAUAAUUGUAAACUAUAUCUCUAGUGAUAAUUAUGUCAUGUUGUUAGUAUAUAAAUUAGUGAUAAUUAUGUCACACUCUAAAUAAAUUUGUCAAGCAGCAUAUUUCAAUUAAUAUAAAGCUGGAUAAAAAAUUAUUUUACACAAGUAAAUUGAAAAUAAAUUAAGAGUCCAUAAAUAUUUAAGGGUGAAUGAGCUCAAUUGAAAAUUUCUCACGGCAAUUUUGAUUUUUGUAGAUUCAUGGUGAAUUUUUUUUUGAGAUUUACUUUAGAAAUUAGAGGUGAAAAUGCAAAUAGGAGAAUGAAGACUAUUGAUAUCUUGACACCUCUAUUAGGUUUGAGAGCAUGUGACAAAAGGAGUAACUUUUGCACAAAUAUGGUUAAAUAUGUCAUUCCACAUAUCUCAUUUCCAUUCAACAAUUGAAAAAAGUUGCCCAUCCCAACAUUUUUUUGUUUGAAACUUUUUGCUCAACAAACUCUUAUAAAUAUCCAUUCACCAAACAUUACAAUUAGAGAAUUUGAUUACCCAAUCCUCUAUUUGUGCUCAAAUCAACUAAAAAAUGUUCAAAUUUCUAUUUACCAAACAUUACAUGAUAUUUCAUCGUGAAUAAUUACCCUAAUAUAAAAUAUCUUUUAAUGCACUGAAAAUUAUAGCAUCAAUAUAUUCCUGUUGAUAAAAAUAUAAAAUAUUAAUAUCUAUUUUUAAUUUAAAAAAAUCUUUAAAAAGUUCCUAUCAUAUUUUAAUAGAACAACAUAUUUUUAAUUUUUUUAAUAAAAAAUUAAAGUGAAUAGAAAUUGGUGUCACUUUCUGUUUGGAAGGAGGGAAAAAGUUGCCCCGUGAGAUAAAAGACGUGGACAACUUUGCAAAUCAGACAUGCUUUAAAAAAUAUAUCUUUUUUCUCUGAACGAAUGUGGUUACAGUGAUAGGUUUUUAAUUGGGUAUUUAUUCUCAUAUAUAUUAAAAAACGAGUAUCUUAUUUUGCAGUUAUUUUUAAAAAAUUAAAGUAAAUAUUUUUAAGAAUGAAAAGGCAGAAAUAUUUUUAAUGUAAUUUUAUAUUUAUAAUUUCAGUUUAAUUAUUAUGUAGUAUUAAAGUAAUUAUGCGCUCAUAAUUUUCUCCUAACUUUGACUUAAAUAGUUAAAUGGCUUUUUUUAUUAAUUUCCAAUAAUUAAAUAUAACUGAGAAAAAUAAUAUUCAUAUUUAAUGAAAAAACGUAAUAUUCAUAAAUAUAUUAAUGAAUCAUAAAAAGAUGUCAAUAAGCUAACAAUUUGAAAAAGUGCUGGAUUCUUAAUUCUAAAAAUAUAAAAAUAAAUCUCAAUAAUUUUUUUUUCCUAAUUUAUGCAAGUAAAAUGUAAAGUUAGGCAAUUUAGUACAAAGUAAAUAAUUUAGGGCUAGCAUUUGGAAAAAGCACAAAAGUCAAAAAAAAUUCAUUGACUCUCCAACUCGCACCACCCAACAGCCGUCAGCCACCAACGCCGCUCCUUCUACGUAGAUAAAACUGUAUAUUUAUACGUAUACAAAUGCAUAGAUACAAACUUAUAUAUAAAGUUUCUCUCUCUCUCUGCCUUUUUCUAGUUCUUUACCUUUCAUGCAGUCGAGAAAAUGGGAAACUGCUUUGCUCGUAAAACAGUAACGAAACGACCGGUCACGAAAAGGUUGCAGAACCAGCAAAAAGGACCCAAUUCCAGCAACCGGUGGGCUAGGGUCCGAUCGUCGAGGAAAGACAAGCUUGAUGAUUCUCUGCUUCAAGAGCAGGCUUUAGCAGCUGCGAUCUUGUUCAGGCAACAUCAACAGCAAAACGGGGGAGCUUCAUUGCCGUUUGACAGGUCGGCUUCGUUGAGGUACCCGAAUUCUUCUUCCGGGUCUAAGAAAGCUGGUCAGUUGCCUCGGAGCUCCAGUUCCAGAGCGAGGUCCCUUACUGACCCGCUUUUGCAACCUCAUCAGCUUGUUAAUCAGGUUUGUGUUAUUUUUUGUUCUUUAAUUAUGGUUUUUGGUAUUUUUCAGGUAAUUUAUUGGGUAAAAGUUUUUUUUUUGGGGGGGGGGGUUGUGGGGGUUAAUUAUUGCGGGGUAUUGGGUUUUAAUUUUCUAUUUUUAUUAUGGGUUAUUUAAUUAUUUUUUAUAAUUUUAUAACUUCAAAUUAUGGGAAGUACGAUGGAAUUAUGAUCAAAUUUUUUUAUUGGUUACUUAUGGUAUUUAAAUUAUUUUUUAUUUUUAGUCGGAUGGCUGUUAAUUUGGCAAUAUAUCGGCAUUCGAUGAAAGUGGAGUUUUCAUGUCAUUGGAGUUCUGGAAAAUUGAGUUGGCUAUUUGAGAACUUGAUUUGGUUAUGGAAGUUUAUAGUAUUAGACUUCUCAGUCAAACCUUGCAUAUUUUUAAAAGAUCUUUUCUUUUUUUGAGCUUUGCCAAUGGUUCUUUGUUAAUUUAAAGCCUUGAUAGCUCUUUUGUGCACGAAGUGUAUGAAUUUCUAAAUGUGGGUUAAAACCAUGGAAAUCCCACCUAUUUUGAUGGUGGCAAGGGGAUGUAUUUGGCACCAGAUUCUCAAUUUGCAGAUGUCUUUUUAAGAGAUUCUUUGAUCCAUCUUUGUCUCUCACUGUGAUGGACAUUAAAGGCUUUCUGCUAUGCAGCAAUAAGCUCCAGUUGCAGGCGUUUUGGCAUAUGUAGAGUUAUCUCAGCACUCAUAAAUGCUUUUGCUUGUCAAGGAUGUUUCUGGUCUACUUAGAUGAACAAUGCUUAUUUGUUUUUUGUUUUCUUUUAACUAUAAAUGAUAAGAAUGGAGUCUUAGUGACAAUUAUUAUCAAUGCUCUUUUACUCAGUUUCUAGUGCUGCAAGUGUGAGCUAAGAAGAAAAGCUAUUUUUUUUCUUGUUUGUAAAAUUGCUAAAACGUGUGUGCUUAUGAUAGUACUUUGUCCCAGAACUGUUCAUUUAAGGGAAAGCUUCAUUAACCCUGAUUCAGCUGGAUAAGAUAAAACUAUGUUCAUAAAAUUUCUAGACAAAUUUAUCUAUUUUGUAGUGUUAUUUUGCACUGUAGUCUAUCGUCUAGCACAACACCUGUUUCUUUUAUUAUAAUUAUUUUUAUGGCCUAGCCAUAAUCGAGAAGGCCGCAUAUUUACAGGUUUUGUUUCAUUGUUUGUUCUUGGUUACCACCAUUUCAAGUCAAUUUGUAAAUUUUAUUUUAGUAACUUUGCUUGUUAAGUGUACAUUAAUCCUUUUAAAUGUCGCUUAUGAUCUUUCUCAUUUUUCUUUUUUGUGUUUGCCAGGGCAUAAAGCUUGAUAACUUGGAAACAAAUCAUUUUGUCCUUGUCCAUGGGGGAGGCUUUGGUGCUUGGUGUUGGUAUAAAACAAUUGCACUCCUAGAAGAAGGUGGUUUCAAAGCUACUGCAGUUGAUCUAACGGGUUCUGGCAUUCAUUCUUUCGACACAAAUGGCAUUACCAGUCUCCCACAAUAUGUGAAGCCAUUAACUGAUUUUCUUGAAAAACUUCCCGAAGGCGAGAAGGUUCUUUUCUAUUUCUUUCUUUACUCGUUUUAAUUUCCACGCUUAUGCUCCUUUUUCAGCUUGCUUCUUGGUCAGAAGAAAUUUUUUCUUAUGCAAAUUGAAUAUCAAGCUUGUUAAUGAAUUCAAACUUGUCCUGCUCAAUACCAAACGUUAAAUCCAGGAAGUUCCUAAAAUAGCUGUUAUAAGCCUUUUUGGGGUAUAUUAAAUUUUAUUUUAUAUUGGUUGCUAAAGCAUUGUAUUGGUGCUUGCAUAUUUCUGCUAACCAAGCUUUGUUACACAUUCUUUACAAUUUUUCAUUCUCGCUGUUACUGGAAAGUUUGACAUAGUAAGAGAUCGAUAACAGAGUCUCAUUGGUCAAAGUCUUUUAAAACUAUGCAGGUGAUCUUGGUUGGGCAUGACUUUGGUGGUGCAUGUGUAUCGUAUGCAAUGGAACUGUUUCCUUUUAAAAUUGCAAAGGCUGUUUUUGUGGCCGCAGCAAUGUUGACAAAUGGACAAAGUACUCUUGAUAUGUUCACCCAACAGGUUUGCAUUGCUUGAAUCAUUAUUUUAAUUUCUGAAUAUUUUUAUCUGCAGAUACAUACUAAUUAUGCUGGACUUGAAAAAUGCACUUCUAUAAAUUGUUUGUUUGAAGUGUCUAUAGUUUAACUUCUUCCGGAACUUACUGAUUUGCUCGAGUGUUUGCCAUUGACAUCUUGUUUCACCAUAGUGAGCCCUACUUUAUCUAAAAUUUGGCAUUAAAUUUGUUUGAAAAAUGCAUCUUUGGACAUGAGUAUGGGGACAUUAUUAAAUACUUUAAAAAAAUUGAAUAUACUCGUGUUGGACACCACACUUGAGUCCAAGUAAAGUAGCUUGUUAAUACUUUCUAUGAACAAGUAAUCUAACCAUUUGAACUUUAUGGUUUUAUGUAACUAGUGCUAAAACUUUUGCAGGCAGGUUCUAAUGAUCUAAUGCGACAGGCUCAGAUAUUUCUGUAUGCUAAUGGAAAUGACCAUCCUCCAACUGCUAUUGAUUUAGACAAGUCUUUAUUGCGGGAUUUGUUAUUCAAUCAAAGUCCUUCCAAGGUACAUCUGAACUAGUGAUUAAUGAUCUUUUUCUUAAUCAAUGCGACUUAUAUGUCUUAUAACGAGAUCAUUUAGCAUCCUUGUUAGAUAUUCUACCACACUGGCAGGCAACAAUGUGCAUGGUCCGCAUAACCACAUACAUCUCUUAUGAAUGCUUGUAAAAUUUCAUAUUUAAAUUGCAAUGUGAACACGUUAGGUAAUUAGUAGUUUGUCAUCUCCUUCUAACUUCGUUGUCUAAAUCAUUUUGAUUGAUUAAUUAAUCUUUUGAUUUUCUAUUGUUCAAAAAACUCAAUUUAUCUUCUAUGUGUGUCGAUGUGCAAAAUUACAACUGCUGAUUUUAUUCCACAUUUUGCUGGCCAGGAUGUUGCAUUAGCAUCUGUUUCAAUGAGGCCGAUCCCUUUCGCACCAGUUUUGGAGAAGCUUUCACUUUCUGACAUGAAAUACGGAUCUGUGAGGCGUUUUUAUGUAGGAACUCCUGAAGAUAAUGCCAUACCAGUGGUGCUUCAAGAGAGCAUGAUUAACUCAAGCCCACCGGAAAAAGUAUUUCGUCUAAAAGGUGCUGACCACUCACCAUUUUUCUCAAAGCCUCAAGCCUUGCACAAACUAUUUGUAGAGAUCUCGAAACUCCCUUCACCUUGAGAGAUUCUAAUUGUCGGAUGUUUCAUUGGAGUCCCCCACUAGGGCAUCAUUUGAUGAGGUAUGGGGAAGUUAUCCUCUCGAAUUUGAGUGAACAAGCAGAUGCACAUACACAUACCGUAAAAAUGGUCUUUAGUGCUCGACUGCUAGAUAGCUUAGACAUUUUGCAUCAGAGCACGGAGUAUGUUGAUAUCGCUUUCCUCAGUCCUUUUUUGUUUUUGGUUUUCCUUUCAUGAGAUAUUCAUAUUUAUGCUAGCGAAAGAUUAACACUUCAGGGUUGCACAUAAAGCAGUAUCAGCCAUUCUUUCUGUUUGUUGAACCAAUUUCUCAUGUAACAUAUGCGUCUGAGCUUAAAGAUUGUUGGAUUACUGAAAUAAAAGGUUGAUAAUUUAUUACGAGAUUGAUUAUCCGAAAUAGAAACACAUUAAAAGUAUUGUUAUUAGGAUAAUAGAUAUUAUUAAUUAGUGUUUGAUCAUUGUAGUUGCCUCAUAACAAGUGCUGUGUAGAUACCAUCCUGUGUGAGAAGCUGUUCAUGAGUGCCACUCUCUGCUAUCUGACCAUCACAAAUAACAGCUACGUUGUUCGCAUUUUUGACUGUUGACAGCCUAUGUGCUAUGAUUAGAACAGUCCUACCAUUCAUCAAUGAAUCCAUAGCUUCCUAUCAAGCACCAUCACAUAAAUUAAAUUGAUAGUGAACCAGGCCUACAGGCUGAGGCAAGCCGAAAAUGAGCCGAUCUGCCCAACCCGGAGACAGGUUUAUGAAAAGCAGCUAAGAGUCUUACCUGAACUAGGUAUUCACUCUCAGCAUCAAGAGCACUUGUGGCUUCAUCCAAAAGCAAUACACUGGGAUUCAUUAACAGUGAUCUUGCAAUUGCUAGUCUUUGUUUUUGACCUCCUGACAGCCUCAAACCCCGUUCUCCCACAACUGUUUCAUAUUUCUUAGGAAAUUUUUCAAUGAAUCCAUGGGCAUUCGCCAUUUUCUGCACCCAUCUUAUAUGCACACGAUAUUUUAAAAAAAUGAAUCAACUACUGUUUCAUUUAUCAUUGGUAAAAAGGAUUAUAGUCAUUAACUUACAGCCACAUAUUGUAUCUCAGUUUUGCCGACUUUGCCAUUGACUCCAUACCCAAUGUUCUCCUCUAUGGAACAAUUGAAAAGAACUGGUUCCUGGCUAACUAUGCUAACCUGUAUUUAGUAAAACAAGACCAACAAUAAAGGUCUGAAAAUAUAACACCUUAAAUAUAAACACGAGAAAAUGAGUGGAGUUUGUAUGGAAGGCAUACAAACAUUGAGAAAGAUCAGCAAAAAGGACUCCACCUUUCUAUGAAGAUAUUGAUGUGAUAUUUCCAGUAAAGAAACCCCAUUUAACAAAAUCUUUCCCUUGAGAGGAUCGUAAAACCUUUCGAUUAAGUUUGCUAUUGUCGUCUGCAACAGAUUGGAGAUUCAGCUUUCAGUAAUUUGUUAGUCCAAGAAGUGUCAACGAAGGGAAAGGGGAUGGCAAUAUUUACUUUUCCACCACCACUGGGUCCAACAAGGGCAACUUUUGAGCCAGGCUUCAGUUUCAUAGUUAUUCCCUGCAGUUCCAUUCAGAUUUUACAUUAUCUAGUGAAUGUAUGCAUUGUUGUUACUUAAAUAUAGUAAAUCUAUUAUUAUCAGUUAAAAGCUUGAUAAUUGGUACUUCAAUUCAAUACAACAUCAGAUCUUUCUAGCUCGAAUAGUCAUUAGAUUAUGCAUUCAUUGCUCUAAUCCGUUUUUGGAUAGCACUUUUCUUCUAACCUUGCACGUGAGGUGCACAUUAAAACUUAGUUAAACUUUCUCUCUCUCCUAUCAAUUUAAACCAUAUUAACUAAAUAAUUUGAAACUUAGUCUAUUUUCUAAACUUCUUUUUAUUUGAUAAAAAACCGACAAAAGAUUCAGAAAUUGCUAUUAGAACAUUUUGAUUUUGCCCUUGUUUUAAUUUUGAUAUUCUUCAGGUCUUAAAAGGAAGGAGCUAACUGAACAAAAUCCAAAACCAUUGAAUCAAUGCACAAUAUUGAGGCAAAACAUGGGUUAGUUUGCUAGAGUAGAAUAUGUUCUAUUAAACUCUUUUUUUGUGUGUCUGUGCGUGUGUUAAACGGUAUAUGAUAUGCUUUAAAUUCAUUUAUGUAGCAGAGAAACCAUUACCCUAAGUACCAUAUGACUUGGCCGAGAAGGAUAAGCAAACCAGACAUCAUCCAAUUCUACAUCUCCAUCUGGAUUUCUGCCAUUCACAGCAUAACAUGUUUAUUUAACAUGAUGGUCCAUUGGGUUAACUUGCGUGACAUAAAUAAAGUUUAAGCCUCUUUUUAGCAUUUCUCAUACAAUGUUGUGUUACAGCCUGCCAUAGGUGUAAACUAGUGGAAUUUAAAUUUAAUGAAAUUGUAAUUUGACUAACCCCACUGGACACUUAUCUCCUGAUUUUGGCAUGCCUGAGACACGAUCUAAUAGCUGGAAAACACUCCUACUUGACCCUGCAGCUUUCAUGGCAGAUACAUAUGAUCCUGAUAAUGAGGACACUGAGUAUCCAACUGCAGGUAAAUAGAAGAUUGUUUAUCACAAACAUGCCAUGCAAAUAACUGUUAAUAUGUUCCGACCAAAGUUGCAGAUCGAACAUAAGAGUUGUCUGGAACUUGUAUAGUACCUGUGAGACUAUAAAGGAUGAAAGAUGUAAGAGAACCAGCAGUCAUGAAUCCCGUUAUUGUCAAGUAGGCUCCAUAGCUCACCACUAUAAAAAUUGACAGUUUGGAUGCAGCGUUCUGUCCUCCAAAGUACAGACCAACUACUUUCUGUUGUAGAAAACAAGAGUUAAGACUCAAGCUAAACAUCUAUGCAGAGAUUUAAGUUGCAGUCAAACUGCGUUCGUGAUUUAACGAAUACAAUUGCAACUAACUAAAUUGACUAUCAUUGAUGUAAAGAGAUAAACCACAAAAACAACAAUUGCAAUAUCGUGUUCCGGCCAUCUGUGUGUGAUUGAGAGAUAGAAAGGACACUCACAGCUCGUUUGAGUCCAAUCUUCAGUCUCUCAUCAACCUUCUUGGAGUACUUGGAGACGGCAUAGCCUUCUUGAGCAAAAGACCUAAUUGUUCGAAUAGCUCCAAAAGAUUCCUAAACGUCAAGGGGUUUGUCAUGAAGGACAGAAUUUUCAAUGCUUUUCAGUUUUGAAGCACGUUACAGUUCUUACAAACCUCAGCAACCGAGGCAGCCACUGCAGCUGCAGCUUGUGUUGUGUGUGAAAGUUGUUUGAGAUAUCGUCCGAAUCUACGCAUGGCGACUGCGGUAACUGGAACUACCACCAAGGAUAGCACUGAACACAAAUAAUAGCAAUUGUGACUGCUAUAACUCUCAACAUUAAUGAAAACUUGUUAAGCAAGCAAAACCAGAGAACAUACAUGUUAGCUUCCAUGAUGAUGAAAACAUGAAGCCAAUGCCGAUAAUGGCACUUGUUAGAUUCCGAAGUGCCUCUGAAAGAUUGGUUGUUGCUGCAGUUUUAAUGAUCUGUGUGUCCUCAGAUAGCCUGUUGAGGAGUUCGCCUGUUGAAGUAACAUCGAAAAAGGCUAUUUCCUGUUGCACAAUUUAAGGAUAAAAACUGCUGAAACAUUGAGUGCUGAGCAAAGGGUAUUAAGAAAGAACAGCCGAAUAACUUGCAGACCAUGGACACCGGCCCUCAACUUGCGAGAAAUUAUCCGCUUUGACUAAAAAACCUCACCAUUUUGUCCUUUACAAGUAUGAGCAUAAGUCUCUACAUAUAUCUGACAAGAUAGGUCUUACCUGAUGGAUAAGGUGAGUGAACAAGUUAAGCCUUAGCCUAGCUACAAUCCUUUCACCAGUAGAAGAAAACAACCAUGCUUGAACUGCUCUGCAUAUAGACCUAAAUAGGAUGGGUAAAAGAAGAACCUUAAGAGUCGAUUUAUUCAUUUUAACAAGUUAAAAAUCAACUAAUAUAGGCUCAACCAACUACUACAGAGUCAAGACUAAAUCCAUUCUAUUAAGCUAUCAAUUAGUAUUCUCCUGUUGGUACUAAUCUUCAAUUAGAUUUUAUAUCAUGUUGUUUGAAAUUUUUGUUUUUCUAUAUUUGUUCCCUAUACACAUUUGGAUAUAGCAUGGGAUAUGAUCUUUCAAGGACCCUUAAAUAUAAAAUCCUUCAAAAGAUCAAAUAUUUUCGUUUUGGAUUCAUACUCAUAUCCAACACUUGCAUUAAAGUUCGAGUAACAUAGGCUAAUAUUGUACUGUUCUGUUCUAUAAAAUGCUGUAACUUGUAUAGAAUAGGCUUUUGAAGCCCAAACCCGUUCUUUAUCUUCACUUAAAAAAAGCAAUUUUGAUGAAGUAGAGCAUGCAUUUAACAUCCAUCUCAAAAGUUAAAAAUUUUACUUGUAAAAUAUGGAUCCCAUGUUGAAGCAUGACAGAUACCCAGAUUUGGUUCUUACCAGUUCUCUGAUCUUUCUAAAGAUAUCAUUACUAUUGAAAGGAACCCAGAAUGGUUUUUACUCGCAAAGAACAGUCUUUAGCAUAGACCAAGAAAGGAGCACUGCCUUGUGAAGCAUUUCAACAAACAAGUGUGUGUCAAAAGGAAAAUGUGAAAUGGAAAGUUACCCUAUUACAAUUAUCAGAAGAAUAUAUGUUACGAUGUUUUUGAUGGCAUCCAAAGCUUGUGAUUGCUGUAGUGGGGUCUUUAUUUCUCUUGACACGAUGUCUAUAAUCAUUCCACCAUAUUUAGGCUGCAAUAUAAUUACAUGAGCUUCUGACUUGUUAUCCAGUUUCUCAUCUUGUAAUUCAUUAACAUAGGGAAAGAAAGGAACAACAUACAAUCAAGAAACCCGAUGCAGAUGCUAUAAAAAGCGCGUUGGUGCCGAUUAUAAGCUUCCCAGCAUCUGGUUUUGCCUACAAAUUGCAGCCAACUCAAUAGGUACUAUGCAAAGAGAUUAAUGAAAAACCAUAUUCCUGACUAACCAGUGAAAAUACUUUGGACAAUCCAACAUUGGCUGCCUGAAAAUGUUCCACAUAAAAGAUUAAGUAAAUAAAGUCUGCUUCACAACUGGGAAAUAAAAAUAUGGAACAAAUAUCCAUCACCUCAACACCACUGUCUUGCUCAGGAUUUGAUAUGGGGCAGUUUGAUGAUUGAUUAUCAUUUGCCUGCAUAAAUGGAACUGUAUUUAUCCCAUGAUUAAACUGAGGGGAAGUUUUAAGAAUAGCUAUAUGUUUGUACUCUUGGUCGUAUGGUUUCCAAAGAAAUCGAAUCAAUGAUGCUGAAAAUUUUGGGUUUUUUUAUCAUCUGAAAUUUUUUGUUUCGAAAGUGAAUAGCACUAUACAAAAUCACCUUCUAAUCUUUAACUAGUAUACGAUAUGCUCAUGCAUUGAAACAUAUAUAUAUUUAAAAUGUAGUAAAAACAAGGAACAAAGUUAAGCAGAAUGUUGAAAAAUAAAAUCCUAGAAAAACAUGGUACAAAACCAAACAAAUUUCCUUGUACAAAAGGGGGACUCUUUCACUGCCUGGAGGAGAAUGCAACUUCUGUUUCUUCCCCAUUUGAAAAUAAAAAUUCAAAAUUGAUAAACAAAUGCAACAAUGGAAAUUGUUUCUGCAAAUUAGUUGCCAGUAUGUCAUGGGAUUAUAAACAAAGUAGGGGAAACUGUUAUUUUUGAAAGAAAAUAAAUUUGUUAUUUUUUAUUUGGUACGUUGUUGGCUUUAUGGCAUGUUUCAUGAGGCCUUUUAUACAUCCUCAAUAAAUUAGGAAAAAAACUGCAAUCAUUUCAUUUUUAUUACUAGACUAUUCUAGUCAGAAGUAAAAAUGUUUAUUUCUUUGAACAACCUUUGUCUCUGUUCCUUUUAAGAUUAUGUCUGUAAUUAUUCAUAAUCCCUCUCUAACUCUUAAAUAAGAGUUCAGUGUGUUCAAAUCUACGUCUUUCUGCACUAACAACAAUACCCACAUCAAUCGAGUUAAGACUCAACCGGCAAAGAAAAUUUAUUUAUUUAUUAUUAUUUGAAAUGGUAAGGAUUUAAAAGAAUGAUAUUUAAUAACUUGUCGUGUUUAAUGCUUGUUUUAGAGGAAAGGUAAGGUGAUGAGCAUGAAUCAUCUUUGUCUUGGAUUGCUGACCUUUUGCUAGUAAUGUGUAUAUUCAUAAUUCCACUGCUAGAAUUUUAUAUAUAAUAAAUUGAUAAAUUUAUGAAUAUCAGUUGAAUUAAUCAAUUUUAUAUGGAAAAAUCUAAAUAAUCGAAUUCAAUAUUAUCGGCUUGAUCUUUACUUUUUAAAUUUAUUUUAUUUAUAAAAAUAAAAUAUUAAAUUGCAAAUAAAAAAUUAUUCUAAGAACUUUUUGAACGACCUCGUGAUCCUAUUCAGUGGUCUGCAUUCCACUUUGUUCAUAUUUUCUAUGAUCCGUGAGUUGAGGAUCCUCAUAAAUUAGCACUCAAGAUAUUCCUCAUCGGCCCAACCAAUAGGCAAGCAUACAUUAGGGGCUCUUCCUAACAAGCGCAGAACACUCGUCAUUCAUACAUCAAUAAAUCAACUGAUGUCCAAAGAAUACCGACCAAGGGCACUCUCAGUGGUGAAUUAUGGGAUAAAGUUUUGAGGGGUCUAGAAAAUUUUAAAAAUUUUGAGAAGUUUGGUGAGAAUUUUUUUAUAAAAAAAAAUUAGGGUCUAAUUAAAUUUUUGAACUUUUUUUGAGAUUAAUGAGAACUUUCAAAUAUUUUAAGUGAGUUUAAUUAAAAUUUUCAAAACAAAUUAAAGGUAUUAUGAGAAAAUUAUUUAGUGUUUGUCGAAGCCAUUUUUUGUAAAACGGGGAUCGACUUUAAUUUUGAAAACGAAAACGAACACGGGAGUCGCCACAAAACUUUUUUUGAUGAGGUGUGAUUGAGUCAUCUCAAAAUGUGGUUGUUUUUAAUAAACAAUUUAAUUUUAUUAAAACAACGAUUUUGGUCCACGAAAUUUAGAAAGGCGGGUUCAGGAGUCGGUUACGUACGAGGAAGGAUUAGCACCCUCGUAACGCCCAAAAUUGGUACCUAGUUGGUUAAUUAGUGUCUUAAUGUCGAAGAUUGGAAACUUUGAAGAGUUUUAAAAAUAUGAUCCUUAAAAAAAUACUCGAAUAACAUGAGUUGGAAUUUAGGAUUCUCUUGUUCUGAAUGAAUAUCACAUCCAGCACGUUAGGAUAUAAUACUUUAAACGCUCAAACCAAGAUUACCUUAUGGUUUUCAAAACCCAUACUUUGAAAUUUUAAGAGGAUAUUUGGCUAUUUGGUCGAAUGACUUUUCCUUUUUGAAUAAUGGGUGAAAGUCGAUGAAAUAUCUAUCAAUAUGCGCGUAGUUCAUAAAAGAAAUCGUUUAAAAAACUUUGAAAAGAUCAUAUAUGGCUAAUAACAAUAUUGCAAUAUACAUUUGAAAUAUCAAUGAAAUAAUAUGCAUAAUAAAAUAUAAAUGUAGCAUUGCUGCUAACAAAUCCCAAUAUUAACAUGCAUUAAUAAGAAUAAUGGUGUCAAUGACAAUAUUACAAUAACAAUAAUAACAACAACAAUAACCAUAAUAAUAAAUCUAAAAUUUUAAAGUAUUAAAAAAAUAGCAAAUAAAUAAAUAAUGAAAUAAAUAGCAACAAUAAUGGCCAAAAUAAAAUGAACAAGCCAAUAAAUAAAUAAAUACUAAUGUAAGUUUGAUUAAUAAUUGAAAAUAAGUAAAUAAAUAAAUAGUAAGUGAAAUAUUAGACAAAACUAUUUUUUAAAUAACAAAAAAAAUAAGAUUAAACAGACUAAGGACUGAAUUGAAAAUGAACCUCAAAAUUUGGGGCUUAAAUCGUAAAUAAAUAAAAAUAGGGUUGCCAGGGGACUGAAAUAAGACUCGCUUAAGGCAUAAGGGACUGACUGUGAAAUAUCCCCAUUACUUAUACGCAUCAUUUUGCGCAGGACUAAAUUGUGACAAACACAAAAGAAAUGGGGUCAAAUUAAAAAUUCUAAAAAGGACAAAAUGACCGAAUUGAAGCCAAGCAUCAAAGCGGAGGGACCCGCAGCGCAAAUAGCCCAUUUGGCCUUGAAAACACGCGGAUCCUCUGCUAAACGGGUCGGGUAUUCGGGUCAUACGUGAAAUGAAGUCGUUUUGGUCAUUGUUGCCAAAACCCAAAACGACGUCGUUUUAUUCCCAAUAUAAAUGUUAAAAAAUAAAAUAAAAAACAAUUUAACCCUUAUUUUUUUUUUAAAAAAGAGAGAGAUCAAACAUUCUCUCACGCAGCCCUCAAAUCCGGCCAAUAGGGCCAUCGCUUGCGCCGCCGUGACCCCGCCGUAAGCGGUGGUCGGAGCAACAUGGAGGUCGCGUCUUUGGCCCACUUUUCAAACGCCCGAAGGCUUAGCCUUUUGGGCCUUAAGACCGAGGGAAGGAGAGGUCCCCAUGCCCCCCUUUUAGUCCGAUUUCGGCAACCGAAAUGGCUCCAGCGACAGACUCCACAGAUAACCCCAAGUAUUCCUCUUCCUUUUUUACUUAUUAAGAGUUUUUUUCUUUUUUUUUUUUAGAAAAAAACUGAUUCGUAAAAAAUAAAUAAAAGAAAUAAAUGAAUAAAUCAGAGAAACCAGAAGGCAACCUUUGUUUUCCUUUUUAUUCUAAUCUGUAAAAAAAUGCCAGAAGAAGAAAUACAAUCGCCCUAUUCGGCCUUUUAUAGCUAAUUUAAAAAAAACUAAAUCUCUCUUCUUUUAUCGUUUUGUGCUUUGGAUUGUUUUUGUUUGUUGUUUUCUUUUUUUGUCUCUGUUGUUGCGUGCGACGUCUUCUUGUAGGUGCUGACAGUGAAGCGUGGAGGUGACGUGCGGCAGAUGUGUGAGGUUGGCGAUUGGACGCGAUGAUGGUGGCGGUGGCAUGCGCGAGGGAGGCUGGCAGAACAUGCAGCGCCGGGGCAUUGGGCAGAGGCGUGCGGCGCGCCUUAGGGUUUGCUUCUCUGCUGAAUGUUUGUUGUGGGCUGCUGUUAAUUUGGGCUUAGGGUUAUUAAUUGGGCUUGGGUUGUUGUUUGGGCUGGUGUAACAAUUAGGUUAGUCUGUUCAAUUUGGUUUGUAACUGGGUUUGGGCUUGAUUUGGGCCCCGGGCAAAAAUGGGCUUAUACAGUGUUAAUUUUUAUUUUAAAUAUUAUUGGGCAUAAAUGAAAAAUAUAAACUUUCAAGAAUGUUUUAAAUAUGUGAAAAGUUAUGUAGUUAUUAGGGGUGUUUAAUCGGUUAACCGACUCGAAUUACUAUUAACCAAAUUAACUGAUUCUUUUAAACUCUUAACCAUUAACCAAAC